rnacentral:lncRNA from 1 species
AUCCAAGCUUCAAAAUUUGAAGUUUCUGCAUUGAUGCUAUUUCUUUGGGAACAUUUCCUGUAAGAUUAUUGUUGUCGAGUGAGAGAUCAAACAAGGGCAAGUUACAUAAAUCAUGUGGAAUGUUUCCUGUAAGAUGGUUUGAGAACAGGUGAAGUCGUUGUAAUUUGGUUGCCCCAGCUAGUUCUGGUGGUAUCACACCUGAUAAAUUAUUGUUGGAGAUCAUGAGGCUUGUGAGGCUACGAAACUUUCCCCAGUUAGGUGAUAGUUGACCAUAAAAGUUAUUGUCACUCAAUUCGAUGUAGUCCAAAUUUGGAAGUACACCAAAAGCAUCUGUUAUAUCCCCAGUUAGCUGGUUUCGCUGAAGCCUGACUCUUAUAAGACUGGAGCAAUUCUUCAAACUCACUGGAAUUGGGCCUAUGAAGUUGUUAUUAGCAGCGGUAAAAUUUUUCAACGUUCCACCAAUGCAAAUGUUUUGAGGUAAAUGGCCUAUAAAAUUAUUGUAAGCUAGCUGCAAACUUUCCAGAGCAGUAAGCAUGCUCAUUUCUAUUGGAAUCUUGCCACCAAGUUCAUUUCCAAAAAAAUAUAAUUCCCUGACAUUUGAUAAAUUUCCAAUAGUUGAAGGAAUUGAUCCAGUGAGUUCAUUUAAGGAUAUAGAUAAUACACUAAGCUUUGACAAAUUUCCAAUGGUGAAAGGAAUGGACCCAGAGAGUUUAUUUUCAUCAAGGACCAAGAAGUCCAAAUGGACCAAGUUGCCUAUGGAAGCUGGGAUUGGUCCAGUGAAUUCAUUCAAGGAUAAAGAUAAUACACUAAGCUUUGACAAAUUUCCAAUGGUGAAAGGAAUUGACCCAGAGAGUUUAUUUUCAUGAAGGAGCAUGGAGUCCAAAUUGACCAAGUUGCCUAUGGAAGCUGGGAUUGGUCCAGUGAGUUCAUUAGAGUGUAUAGAUAAUUCACUAAGCUUUGACAAAUUUUCAAUGGUGAAAGGUAUGGACCCAGAGAGUUUAUUUUUAUGAAGGUGCAUGGUGUCCAAAUUGACCAAGUUGCCUAUGGAAGCUGGGAUUGGUCCAGUGAGUUCAUUCAAGGGUAUAGAUAAUACACUAAGUUUUGACAAAUUUCCAAUGGUGAAAGGAAUGGACCCAGAGAGUUUAUUUUCAUCAAGGAACAAGAAGUCCAAAUGGACCAAGUUGCCUAUGGAAGCUGGGAUUGGUCCAGUGAAUUCAUUCAAGGAUAAAGAUAAUACACUAAGCUUUGACAAAUUUCCAAUGGUGAAAGGAAUGGACCCAGAGAAUUUAUUUCCAUCAAGGAGCAUGUAGUCCAAAUUGACCAAGUUGCCUAUGGAAGCUGGGAUUGGUCCAGUAAGUUCAUUCAAGGAUAUAUAUAAAUCACUAAGCUUUGACAAAUUUCCAAUGGUGAAAGGUAUGGACCCAGAGAGUUUAUUUUUAUGAAGGUGCAUGGAGUCCAAAUUGACCAAGUUGCCUAUGGAAGCUGGGAUUGGUCCAGUGAGUUCAUUAAAGGAUAUAGAUAAUACACUAAGCUUUGACAAAUUUCCAAUGGUGAAAGGAAUGAUACCAGAGAGAUCAUUAUCAGAAAGAUUAAGAAACAAGAGUUUGGAGAGAUUACCAAUGGUAUUGGGAAUGCUACCAAAGAGGUUAUUAGUGGACAAGUCAAGAGUGUUGAGAUUGGAUAAGGAACCAAUUUGAGGAGGAAUAGUUCCAUUCAAGGAGUUGAGACUCAUAUUUAGAGUGAGAAUGUUUGGAAGUAAUGAGAAGUUGAGAUUUUGAAGCGUACCUCUUAAUCCAACAUUUGUAAGAUUUAUGUUGGAAACAGAAUUGAACUCAUCACAUGCAAUUCCGAGCCAAAUGCAAGGAUUAUUGCCACUCCAUGAAGAGAGAGAAGCAUGACUUUGGUUGUCAAGGCUGGAUUUCCACUUCAACAAAGCAUUUGCUUCUGAAGCAAUCUCAGAAGAAGCAGCAAAUGCACAGAAGUACAUCACAAGAAGCAGCAAAAGUGGUUGGAGCUUCAUGGACAGAAGCGUUGGAAUUAUGAACACCAUGAGGAAAUUUUGAGGAAGGAUUCAAUCACAGAUUGUCUGAUACAAUCAAAUGCUGGAGAAGUACUUACAAGCAAUUCAUGCGAUAUGCACACUUAUAUGCAAAACAUCGUGAACCACGAACCAGAGUCAAGAGAUAUUAUAUAACUAAUUUAUGGGAUAUUAACCUUGAGAAACUUUAAAUAAAAUAUUUAUAACUAAUUUUUAUUUCUAAUGAACAUAAUAGGACCUUUUUCAGGGCAACAUAAUAGAACUUUAAAUUAAAUAUAAUUAUUAUUUUCUGGCAUUGUGAUUAUGGGAUCUUAAUAAUAAGCUUUAUAUAUUAUGUCUUAAAAAAUGCUGCUAAAAAAUAUAUAUAAGUUUUGUAAAAAAAAAUUACUGUAAUAAAGUUGUAUUAUUAAAUAUAUAAUUUAGAAAAAAAAAUAUUAAUUUGUUGCAGUCACUUAUACAUUUUAAUUAUAUUAAAUCAUUUAAAUGUUAUAAUAUUGAAAACUAAUUAGGAUGAAGACUGAAGAGAAGCGAUAAAUUCAUAAUAUGGAAGUAAUUAACGUGAGAAAGAAAAUAUCAAACAAGACAGCCCAUCAGUGGGGUCAAUAGAAGUCUAGCUUGGUAUGUUGUACGCGUUUACUUUACAAAACUACAAAAUUGUUACUGUUAGCAAGCAGAAAUUUCCGUACUGUAAUAAUGCAUGGGCAAAUUUCAAACUUCCACAUAACCAUUUAUGUAACACUGUAUUUUUUUUUUAGGUAAAAUUAUAAAUUUGGUCUCUUACUUUAUUUCUAGUUUUUAGAUUUGAUCUCUGAGUUUUUAAAUUUAUGAAUUUGGUCUUUUUAUGUUGUAAAAUCGUGUAAUGUUGGUAUCAAGUUACAAUUAGACGUUGACGGUUACAAAGAAAUAUUGACUAUCACGUGUCAUGUUGUUCUUAUUGGAUGAUGACUAUCACAUGUCAUGAUUUGAAACUAUCAAAAGAAAAGAAUAAAGGUUUUUCAAUUUUAUCCAAAAAAAGGAGGGAAUGCACCCUUUUUUGAAAAAAUUUCCAAGUAACUGUUUUACGCCUUUGAGCACGUAUAGAUCCUUUGAUUAUGUCUCGCCAAAAAUCCAAUUGUUGGGAAUAACGUAUUAAAGCCAAUUCAUUUUUUUUUUCAGCGUUAUCAGUAUCUCUUGUAGGAUUAUAAGUAUCGUACUUCUUACAAAAAUUAGAUUUAUUAGUCAAAAUGACUACACGUUUGGCUUUUCUAGAACGAAUUUGAUAAUUUUCUGCUUCAUUUUUUCCCUCCCGUUGUUCCAAUUCGUCAAUAAAUUUGUAUGACCAUCGAGGAACUUUUUUACGGAUUUUGUUUAUUCUAAUACACUUUGUUCUAUUUCCAUUUACUAUUGUUUUUUCAUUCAAAUCAGUUCUAAUUGCAUCAAAUAACUUUGGCGACUUACCCAUUCAAUGACUUUGGCACCGGACGUUCCCAAACUGGAAUGUGUAUUAUCGAUAUAGGGGAUCUUUCAAUUGAGAAGAUCCAUCGACCUUAGACGAAGAGAAAGAAAGGUCUAUCUAUUUUUUUGUUUUAGUUAUUCAGUUAAACCAAUGAUUCGUUAUUGGAGCAGAUAGCAACAACCAUCUCAUCUGGGAAAAGCCAUCUUUUUCUCAACAAUGUCUUUGUCAUUUGAUCCAAUAGCGCUUCGUUAGAUAGGAACAAAUUUGAUAAAUAUUGAUAACUCUCAGAUAGAGUAUUAGAACGGAAAAAUCCAUUAGAUAAUGAACUAUUGAUUCUAAGCCAUCUUUGACAAUGAAUCAACAAUUCAAAAUGAUUUUCUUGCGUAUUCUUGAUAAACCAGUGUUUAUAUAUAGAUGUAGGAAGAUCUGUUUGGGAAGUAGUAAGAAGUUCCCUUGACAUCUCUUCAUCUGUGAAGAAUUGUCGAUGUGAAAACACAGAGACAAAAGGGUGAUCUUUGAAUAGGAAAAAGAGUGGAUCCGCGGGGUCCCAAAUGAAUUGGCUUAUUCGAAAAAAGCCUUGUUCUUUGGAAGAUCUAUCUCGUGUCUGGUACUGCAUGGUUCCACCCUGCAAGAACUCUGAAUCAUUCUCUUGAAGCUCAUCCUCUUCAUCAUAAAUGAUCCGCUUGUCCCGAAAUGACCUGGCCCAAUAGGGAAAUCCCAAUUCAUUGGGCCUUUCAAUACAAUAAAAUAGAAAGCCCCAAGGGCUCCAUAUUCUAAGAGCCCAAACGAUGUGAUUGAAAAAAUCCUCCUCUAUCUGUUGUGGGUCGAGGACUCCCCCCCCCCCUUCUUCAAACUCCGAUUCAUAUUUUUCAUAGAGAAAUCUUUGAUCAACGAUAGAAUAAGAUCCAUUUUGAAUCAUAUUUAAGAGAUUCCUUGGUUCGGACCGAAGAAGCAAUGUCACUCGAUCCUUAUCAAACUGACUGCAAUCUUUUUCUAUAUGUGAGGAUCCCACCAGAGCGCCUUCUACUUCUAAUAGGCCAUGAACUAGAUCAGAAUUAUUCUCAACGAGUCCAUAAGAUGUGAUCCCAUUUUUUUCAUCAGGUCCGGGUAGAGACCAAAGGUCUUGAGCGACCGAUCCGGCAGAACAACUCAAAGGGUAAAGAAGUAUCGUAAAUUUCUUCAUACUCGUUCCAAGUUCGAAGUACCAUUUGUACAAAUAAGAAUCCCCCCCCCCCCCCGUCACAUGAUUUCUUCUUCAUAUUGGUCAAUGAAAAUAACAAUAUAUUUCAUAUUUCAUAGAGUUUACAUCUAAUCAGAACGUAACACGUGACAGUCAUCAUCCAAUAGUAACGUGACAUGUGACAAUCAACGUCACUGGCUCACGGUCAACAUUCAAUUGUGGCAUGAGGGACCAACAUUGCACGAUUUUACUAAAUAAGAGAGUCAAAUUCAUGAAUUAAAAAAUUGGGAGACCAAAUCCGAAUAGGAAAUAAAAUGGGAGACCAAUUUUAUAAUUUUGCCUUUUUUUAACAACUUUUUUAAUUAAAAUAUAAAAGAAAUUUAAUUUAUGCUAUAAAUCAUUGAGUUUUAAAAAUAUAAUAAGUUUAAUUAUGUGUUUUAAGUGUAAUUAAGAGUUGCACUUUUGAUACAAGUGGACGGGAGUUACUAUAGACCUCAUGUAAAUUGUUAUAGAUUCCUAACUAUCAAAGUGGUUAAGAAUUUUUUAUUUAUUUUAGAAUUACUCUCAUUGAAUAAAAUAUACAUGAUAAUUCCAUUAUAUAUUAUUUUUCACAUCCUUUUGUUGCAAGAGAAGCGUGAUUCUAUUAUUAUAUUUUUUGGCACCUCCAUUAAUAUAGUCAUUCCUCUUAAUUUAUGUUUUUUCUUUUACAUUGACAAGGUUCUAACUUUAGAACUAUUAUUGGUUAAACAAAAUAAUACCCAAGCCAAUUAAUUCAAGCACUUGACGCUAGUAAUCAUUAAUUUUACUAAUAAUUUUUUUUCAAAAAAAAUUAUUAGUCACAUAAGAUGCUCUUACAAAAAAUAAUACAGUAGUGACAUUUUACUAAAGAUUUUAGUUUAUAUAUUCAUAAAAAUAUAAUAAUAAUAUUUAUUUAUAUUUGUUGAUAUUUUUUAAAUGUUACUAAAAGUUUUUAGUAAUAUUUUACUAAAUGUUAAAUAGAAAAUAUUACUAAUUGUCACUGUGUAGUAGUGAAUUAUAUUUUAGAUUAUUAAAAUUAACAGUAUAACUUAUAAAAUUAAUUAUUAUGAUUAUAAAUAAAGUAUUACAUAUUUAAAAUAUAUUUUGAUUAUUAUUUUAGCAAAUUAGUAUUCUAAAAUAAUAAUUACAAAUGAUAUACGUAUAUAUAAGUAAAAUCAAAUUAAACACAAAUAUUAAUGUAGUAUUUAGUUAGUGUUAUUAAUCAUAUUUAUAUAAAUAUUUAAAUAAUCUAGCAUUUUUCUUAUAUAAUAUUCAUUAUUAUAUUUGUUAAAAUCAUACAUGAUAAAUUUUAAUAAUAUUAUUAAAUAUAAUAUGUUGAUUGAAUUUAAUAAAUAUAAUGUUAAUAUAUGGAUAAUAGGCAUUCAAAUUUUUAAAUGAAUUUAUUUAUAUAAAAGUUAUUAUUAAAUAAAAUGAAAUUACUAAAAUAUACAUUUUAAAGAAUAUUUGUUUAGUAAGAUGUGUUAAUCCUAAAUGUUUAUAUGNNNNNNNNNNNNNNNNNNNNNNNNNNNNNNNNNNNNNNNNNNNNNNNNNNNNNNNNNNNNNNNNNNNNNNNNNNNNNNNNNNNNNNNNNNNNNNNNNNNNUACUAAAAUAUACAUUUAAAGAAUAUUGUUUAGUAAGAUGUGUUAAUCCUAAAUGUUUAUAUGUAGGAAAACGAUUUAUUUAGUAGAGAAACUCAUAUUUAAUUUUUUUAUGUGUAAAAUUUUUUAUUUCAAUGAUAGAUAUGGAUAAUGAAUAAAAUUAAUCUUUGGAUUAGUAGUUGGAAGAAAUCCAUAUUCUUUGAACCGAUAAAAAAAAAAGUAUAUUAAAUUAUAUAUUUUAUCAUAAGGGAUGAGGAGCAAAAGUGAGUUUUUUUUCUUAAAUACACCUUUUCUUUUUUGUUUUUUUUUUAAUCUAUACUACUUUAUAAUUUAAUUUCCAAUAUACAUUACUUACUUGAUACUUUCUCUCUCCUUUUUGUUUUUUAAUUUAAAAUAUUAUAAAAUAUAAAUAUUAUAUUAUAUAAUUUUUUAAUUGGUUUUAAAAUUACUUAUUUAUUAAAUUAAAUUAUAUAUAUAUAUAUAUUUUAAUUUUUUUAAAGAAAAUGAUAUUAUUAAAUAUAAUUAUUUUUGUUUUAUUAUUUAAUUUACUUAACAUAUUUUUUAGGUGAAUAUUUUUAUUUAAAAUCUGAAUUUUAUAAUAUAAGUAUUUUUAAUAUAAUUAUAUUAUUAAAUAUAAUUAGUUUGUUUAUGUCAUUAGAUUUAAUUAAAAAAUGAGAAGACUUUUUGUUUAACCGUUUAUUCAUAGAAGACCAUUAUAUUGUAUUAUCAUACUUAAACAAUUACAUUUGGUUAAGGAAAAAUUAAAGAUAGAGAUAUGUUAGGACAAUUGUUUCUGUUAUAAGCAUAUUGUUGUUGUAAAAUUCAUAUUUUUUUUCUACUUUCUCGUUCGUUCAAAGUUAAAAUGGGACUAUCCUCUAUCGUCCUCUUUCUUUUAUUUUUCAUAUUUUAAUCUUUUGAAGUCAUAGAUAAUAAAAAUAUUUAUUUUUCAUAUUUAUUUAAUAGUUAUCUUUGACUUAAAUGAUAAGAAAAAUAAAAGAAAGAGGACGGCAAAGGAUAGUCCCGUUUUAAAAUGAAUUUAUUUAUAUAAAAAUUAUUAUUAAAUAAAAUGCAAUUACUAAAAUAUACAUUUUAAAGAAUAUUUGUUUAAUAAGAUGUGUUAAUCUUAAAUGUUUAUAUGUAGGAGAAUGAUUUAUUUAAUAAAAAUUCAUAUUUGAUUUUUUUAUGUGUAAAUUUUUUUGUUUCAAUGACAGACAUGGAUAAUGAAUAAAAUUAAUCUUUGGAUUAGCAGUUAGAAGAAAUCCAUAUUCUUUGAACCGAUAAAAAAAUAUGUAUUAAAUUAUAAAUUUUAUCAUAAGGGAUGAGGAGUAAAAGUGAGUUUUUUUUUUUUUGUAAAUACACCUUUUUCCUCUUUUUUUUUUCAAUCUACACUACUUUAUAAUUUAAUUCCUAAUAUAUAUUACUUACUUCAUACUUUCUCUCUCCUUUUUUUUUAUUUAAAAUAUUAUAAAAUUUAAAUAUUAUAUUAUAUAAUUUUUUAAUUGGUUUUAAAAUUACUUAUUUAUUAAAUUAAAUUAAAUAUAUAUUUUUAAUUUUUUUAAAAGAAAAUGAUAUUAUUAAAUAUAAUUAUUUUUGUUUUAUAAUUUAAUUUACUUAACAUAUUUUUUAGGUGAAUAUUUUUAUUUAAAAUCUGAAUUUUUUAAUAUAAUUAUUUUUAAUAUAAUUAUAUUAUUAAAUAUAAUUAAUUUGUCUAUGUCAUUAGAUUUAAUUAAAAAAUGAGAAAACCCAAGAUUGAAUAGUUUAUUCAUAGAAGAAUAUUAUAUUACAUUAUCAUACUUAAACAAUUACAUUUGACUAAGGAAAAAUUAAAGAUGAAAAUAUGUUAGAAUAAUUGUUUCUGUUAUAAUCAUGUUAAUGUAAAAUUCACAUUUUUUUCUACUUUCUUUUUCAGAGUUAAAAUCGGACUAUCCUUUGCCAUCUUUUUUUUAUUUAUUUUAAUCUUUUACAAGACAUAAAUAAUAAAAAUAUCAAUUCUUAUCACUUAAGUCAAAGAUAACUGUUAGAUAAAUAUUUUUAAAGAUAUUCUUAAUAUAUUUUUAAAGAUAUCUUCAAUAUAACCGUUAUUACUCUUUGAAAUUUUAUGUCUAUGGUAUAAGAUACAUAUAUCAAUUAUUUUUUUACUGUGUUUUUUAGUUUAAUUUAAUAUUACUAACUAAUUUUUUUAUUUUUUUAAUUAACGAACAUAACAAAAAAAAUAUCAACAGCGCAUAAAUUUAAUUACAAAAGUACAUAUAAACUAACUAAAAAAUUGUAAUAUAAUUUUAUUAAAUUUUUUUUAUUUUUCUUUAUCUGUAUAUUUUUCUUUAAAAAAAUAAAACACAAAAUUAUAAAAUUUAAUUUAAUAAAUAAGUAAUUUUAAAACCAAUUAAAAAAAUUAUAUAAUAUAAUAUUUAUAUAAUAAUAUUUUAAAUUAAAAAAACAAAAAAAGAGAGAAAAACUCCCAAGUAAUGUAUAUUAGUAAAAAGUAAGAAAAAAAGGUAUAUUUACUGGAAAAAAACCCGCACAAAGUGGAAUACUUAGACGAUCUCUUAAAAGAGAAUAGUAUAAUAUAUUUUAUAUUUUACAUAAGUUGGGAGAAUGAAGUAUAAUACCUGCCUUUUUAAGGGAAAAGAGAGUGUAAUUUCCUCUCGAAGAAUAUGAUACCAUUUAUGAAGUCAAUGCAAGUCUUGACUGGUUGUCUUGCAUGAUGCAUACGUUGCUAAAUUUCAAACUUCUUACGACCCGCAUAUAAAAAAACCCAAGCAUGUCCACUCCAUCCAGGAACAGCCCUAAUAAGUAAUAACCCUUAGGGAGGGUUACAUGAUCACGAUUUGAUUUGAUAUGCUUCUAGACUAAUAGAUUUUGAGUUAUUUACAAUACUACCCCUUCCAUUCCAUUUUGAGGAGUCAAAAUCAGAUUUCAAAUGCCCCUUCCAUUCCAUUUUGAGUUAUUUACAAUACUACCCUACUACCACCGUUGACUGCACUAGCCAUCAACACGGUGAGACUGACUUUACUUAUGGCCCAUUCGGUAUUUUUCUAUUUGCUCUGCUGAGCUCACACGCUUGCUAAAAUCAUAUAAAAAAACAAAACAUGAACAGUGAUUCAUAUAAAAAAAAAAUAAACAUGAACCAUGCUCAUGUUGUGAUAAUAUAAAGUGGACAGUGGUCCCGAUUAGAGUACCAAAUUCCUUCGUAUUUUAAUUUUUGUUUUGUUGGUGGAUUUGUAUUUUUUAUUGACGAUGAUUAGAGAUUUAACGCGUAUUUAGAUUAAUGAUUUAUUUUAUGAAAAUGAAUCUUUUUUUAAAUAAAAAAAAAAUUUGAACCGACUAUAGAUAAAGUAUUUAAUUUGAGGUGACUUCUUAUAGGAUUAUGCAUAUCCUGAAAAUAGAGAGACGACAUAUUUUCAUGGGAAUGCGAUAAGCGUUGGCGUUGUCUAAUGUAUAUAAAAAGCUUUAAAAACUGAAAGAUGGGGAUAGGUUACGCUACGCAUUUCCAUCCCCAUGUUAAUGUCAUUGUCACAUGCCAUUACCUGCCUGCGCAAGCGUCAAGCUUAAAAAUUAAAAUGUAUGUUUGCCUAAAACGUAAAUAGAGUUGGUGAUUAAUAUAUGUUUAACUAACUGAUUGGACGAUUCUUCCUUUUUGUUUAAUGGAAUUUAUAUAGUAAGAAGUCUUGUUAGAUAGAAUUUUUUUCCAAUCAAUUUUUUUAUUGUUAAUAUGAUAAAUAAGUACUACUACUAUAAAGAGUAUUACAUACUUAAUCGUUGAUCAUGAAAUAUUGUUGGUUGAAUUUUGUGAAUUGUGUAAAAGUAAGAUAUUUUAAAUUCGAGAGUCUAAGAGUUUUAUAAAAUUUUCUUUGAUGGAAAAAAAUAUAAAUAAAAAAUCCUAAUGAAUUAAACUGGGUUCAUAAAUUUAAGAAAUAGGGAGAAUUUUUUAUUUCUCUCAAUAUUUUUUCAAUGUUUAAUGUGUUUAAAUUAAGAUUGAAUAGUUGGAUAUUAAUGUAAAACAGCAAACACGUUAGAGUAAAAUAUCCUUUUGUACUUCAUUCACGCUCUAUCAUCCUAUUUAGUUAAAGUACUAUGAGGCAAGGGUUGAAAUUAAUAUAUAAUUUAAUUAAUUUAUUAAAACGACUCAUACAAAUUUUUUUAAUGUUAUAUCAUUGCAUGCAUUAGAUUUUACUAAAAGCAAAUUUAGUCUUCUUAAUUUUUUUGUUAACAUUAUUAAUUAAUUUUUUCAAAUAAUUAUAAAAUUUUAAUGUCUGUAUACACGCACAUUUUAUUAGUAGUGAAUUUUAUUAUAAUUAAAUUAAUAAUAGAUUUUUACAUAUGUAUUCAUGUGAAAAGUUAUGCGCGCGUUACAUUUAUCAAAAUUAAUAAAUAUAGUAUUUAGAUUUAAUAAUAGAGGAUAUUAUGAAAAUUAAUCAUAUAUUAUUUUUCAUGACAAAUUUUUACCCAUUGCUGAAGUACUAGAUUUCCACCCUUAAUUACAAUGUACGGGUAUAAAUGAGUUCAAAAUACUCCAAUUCAAAAUUUGAGUCAACAUUUCAUUUCCAAAUUAACAUAAUAUUGUUUUCAUAAUUAAGUCACUUUAUUAGCUUAUUUAUUUUCGUGUUUUUAGUUCUACACCACUCUCUAUUUAAUGUUUGUAACCUAAAAAAUUAUCUAUUUAAAGUGAGUUUUUUUUAUCGGCAAUAUUAAGACAAAAUCAAAACCGCGAUUUUUAUCAUGGUUCCUUUCUCUCUUCCCUUCUAUUUAAGGUGGGUAUGCUUAGUAAUUAUAGAACAUAAAGCAAACAUAUACUAUUUAGUGGGUUAAAGUUGUUAUUUUUUAUUUGAAAAGAAAAAAGCAAUUACUAAUAAUAAGUAAUGUAUAUACAUCUUUCAAUUGGACAAACAUUAAAUUAAACUUAAAGUGAAUUACUUAUGCACUUUAAUUUCAAGAAAUUAAGCUCAAUUUCAAUGAAAUUUAAUAAUUUGAUACUUUGUCUUUUUAAGAGAAAAUUAACGUCCAGUAUACUGACACAAACCUGAGUUGCAAAUUAAGUUAUAAAAACUUUAUUUUCGAUGGGUACUUUAAAAAAAAACAGGUGAAAUAUAUACCGUAGUAUGACUUCAAGAAUAUGUAUAAUAGUUAAAUCGAUACCAAGGUUAGGUAGAUUUCUUGUGAAUGAAUCCUGCAAACAUAUCAUUAUCAACGCGAGUCGUGUUAGAAUAGCCUCAAAAUUCAAUCAUCCACUUGAAAAUUUGACCACUAAGACAAAUUCUCACUUCUCUGUGUAUUUUUUUUUCCUAACCUAACAUUUUUUCCUAAUCUAACAUGAUGUUAGAAUAUGUAACGCGAAUAAUAUUAAAGAUGAUUAAAAUAAAUAAAUACAUAAAUAUGUAAAAGCAUACAUAUUAUUACAUCAGAAGUUUUAUAGGAGUACAUAGUAUACAACAAUAUACAUAUUGGAUCAAGCUCCAUGCGUCCUUAAUUUGCACGGUUAAAAGUUUACAAUGUGAAAAGGAUUCAUACCUUGUAAUAUAAUAAAGAAUAAAUAACACAAAAUAUAUAAGGAAAAACAUACAAAGUAUAUAAAUUAACAAAUAUUAUAUUAAUUUUUUAAAAAAUAAUUCUUCAUAGAAAGUUAAUUUUUAUAUUUAAAUAAUUUAAUUUUUCUUCAUUACACUUGAAAUGAAUGCAAAUAACUUCCGAUCCUAAACAAAGAUUAAAUAUAAGAUGUAACGUGAAUAAUAUUAAAGAUGAUUAAAGAAAAUAAAUAUGUAAAAGUAUACAUUAUUACAUGGAAUUGAGCAAAUUAAAGCAAUCUAAAUAUUUUUCACUAAUCAGUAAAAUGGUACUUAAACUGAAGUUCUGUAAUGCAAAGAAUUAUUCAUUUUAAAUCCACACUUAAAUCAGUUUUCCUUGUAAGGUAGUGCAUGCAAUUCAAAUAUUAUAGAAUGCUCCAAUCAUAUAAGAUUGCUUCAAUCAUAAGGUGAUCAGUCAAUGUCCCUCUGUUUUGCGAGAAUACUCCAAUCAUAUAAGAUUAAUAUAGACUUAAAUAAACACUCAAAUCGAGUGUAUUUACCCCCAAUGCUUAGAUUCCGAAGAAUUUAUUAAGGUCUUACCUUUCUGAUUCAGGUCCAACCCCUAAAAUAAAUUUUACAUGCAAAUACUACUCAUGAAUUAUGCAAUAUCCAGGGUCUCACACUUAUUUUCAAAAUACAUUUAACACAAUGCAUUACAAUUUAACUCCUCAGGUUCUUAACUUGGAACCGUACACUCUUCCUUUAACACCUCACGCAUUGCACUACAAUUUAACACCUCAAGUUCCUAACUUGAAAUCUCUAUACUUUCCUUUUAACACCCUUCACAUUACACUACAAUUUAACAUAUCAGGUUUCUAACUUGAAACCCUACACUUUUCUUUUAAAAUCUCGCGCAUAAAUAUUUUUCUCAAGGUAAUCACCAAUUAGGUGAUUGUAUAAUCCACAACUCAAAACACUACUAAUAUCACAUUAAGUAUUAAUCACACUUAUUCAGAAGCUAAUAGGCCAAUUAUAUUAUAAAAUAAUUAAUGUCGCUAUAUAUAACACUAAAAUUUAUAAUGUAUAUUUAAUGCAUAUAUAAAUUUAAAUAACAAAUUUAGUGACAAUUAAAUUUGAUCUAAUAGUUAAUUUAUUUACAUAUAUGAAUUAUUGUUGUGACACCCUCUACCCCUCACAUAUAUACUAAUAAGGAAUAAAAAAAAUCAAAUAUUAAUUAAAAGUAUUUUUUUAUAACAUUUUUUUUACAAGUCUUUCAAAGGGGAAAAAGGCUCACAUUCAUUUUCUUCUACAUAUUUAAACUUGUCCAAAUAAAUAAUAAAGUAUUCUCGACUCAAACAAGGUCGUCUAAGCUUCAUACAAUUAAUAUAGAACCUAUAUCUUAAUGUCACAUCCUAUCAAAGCGUUGUGUUCUCGUGUCCUCUAGCAUGAGGUUCUUCAUAGUCAUCCACCUAUUCAUAUUCUCCCCCGAACACAAGUUCAAGAUCAUCACAGGAUCCAAACACAACAACACACAGGGAGUGAGUUAUCACAUUCCUAGCUAAUAGAGAAACAAGACAAUUAAAUAUACAUAUUAUAUAAAUGAGAUACCACUUGCUUAAACAUAGCUCACGUAAUUUCACCACUUCGUCAUUCAAAAUUCAUUUUUCAAUUAUCAAUCACAUUACACAAGAAUCUCACACUUCGAUCAAGAUAUAAUAACACAUCAAUUAGCAAGCAUAUGCAAUAGUUAUGCUAAGACUCAAUCUUAUAUGCAAUGUGGUACCAUGUCAGUGAAAAAUCACCCUAGGGCGCUUAGGAGUACAUAACAAGACACACCACACAAUGAGUUUGUCAGGUUACUCUCACUAAGUAAGAUCAUAGGGAGACCAGUCAGGGUCACGAUGUUUUGCAAGAAUGCUCCAACCAUAUGGGAUCAGCAUAGACUUAAAGGAGCACUCAAACCCGGUGACCCCCAAGGCCUACACUCUGAAGAGUCCGUUAGGGCCUCUCCCUCCUGAUUCAGGUCCAACCCCUAAAAUAAUUUUUUUCAUGCAGACAUUGCUCAUGAAUUAUACAAUACCCACGACCUUACACUCGUGUUUUAAACACGUUCAACACAAUUGCGCCACGAUUUAACACUGGUUCCUAAAUAGGAGACCUACAUUUUCUCUUUAACACUGUGCAUCAACGCUUUUCUCAAGAUAACGCUGGUCGGGUUAUUGUACAAUUCAUAGCUUACAACACAAGUAAUUUCACAUCAAGUGUUAACUAUACACUUAUCUACAACUAGAACUCAUUCACAAUUUCACAUCUCAUAGUAUCACAAUCCACCAUCACAUGUUUACACGUAUCUCACAAAUUAACACAUGUUGAACUUUACACUUAUACUCAAUCUCAAUAACAAUAUUAUAAUCUCAAAGCAACAUGUUAUUCUACAAUUCAUCACAUACUCACAAUUUGAAUCAUCAUUUCAUAUCAUCAAUAUAACAAUUUAUAUAAAAGACUAUCACAACAUGAGGACUAAAACCCCUCAAAUAAUACUAUACAAUUAUAUCAAAAUCAUAGGUCGAAAUAUACAAAUACCAAGAGCACAAUUUAUCAAGCAAUUUUCAUUAGGACAUCAAUAUUUUAUUUAUAAUCAUAAAGGAAAAGUUGCAAUUUAAUAAACAUCCCAAAAUAAAACUCUAAUUUAAUCCUCUAAGGAUCCCUACACAUGUUCAUUCUAACCCCCAAUUGUGAUAAACUCAUCCCUUACCUCUAAGCGGAUUCACGUGUCUUCCCAUAGCGAUAGCGUCAUCUCUAGGGGUUCCCUAAGAUUUCUCCAAUUUUUCCUCCAAUUGCUCCGAUAGAGUACCAAACGUCAGAGAAACAGAGAAGGGAUUAAAGCCUCCAUUUGGACUAUCUUCAUGCGAUUCGUUUUUCUCCCUCCAAGAACAUUAUCUCGUAAAUCCCAACGGUCAAAGCGUGCAAAAUUGAAUUUCGAACAACAUAUCCAAAUUUCAUGACAAUCCAACGGUUAACGAAACCGGGAUCGUAGUUUUACCAAGACAACUCUGGAUUUCUGCGAGAAAGAAAAAUGCUACAAUGCGAGGGGUAUCUUAGCUCAGACGUGAUAUCAAAAUUCGCAACGGUGAGAAUUCUCGGAAAUGGGUUGCGAACAUGCUGUUUAAAUUUCACGACGACCCAACGGUGAAUGAAUCCGAGAUCGUCAUUUUUCUGAGACAGGUUUGGUGGCCUGCGGGAAAAAGAGAGGGUUUUGGAAAGAGAAGGAGAAAAACGAAAAUGAGGGAAAGAAGAGGCACCAUCAGUGUGAAAACUGACCUAACGUUAUUUAUAACUAGGUUUACUCUAUUUAUUUAUUUAUUAUUUUAUAAAAACAAACUUUAUUUUAUUCUCUAUCAAACAAAUAAAUAAAAUACCCUUUUUAUUUUCUCUCAAAUAAUUAUUUUAAUUAAUAAUUAUAUUUCCUUAUUUAUUUAUUUAUAAAAUCUCAUCAUUUUUUUUAAAAAUCUAUUUAUUUAUAAAUAAUAAUCCUUUUUAAUCUAAUUUACGAAAAUUGAGAUGUUACAAUUAUAAAUAAAACCUAUGAUUUUUAUUUAAAAUUUAUAUAUAUAUAUAUAUAUAUAUAUAUAUAUAUAUAUAAAUAUAUAAAUACAUUAGUAUAUUUAUGUUAAUCAUGUAUUUUUUACAUAUAUAAAAUUUUAUUAAACCUACGGUUUUUAUUUACAAUUUAUAUAUGUAAAUAAAUUAGUUAUUAGAUCAAAAUUAAUUAUCACAAAAUUUAUUAUGUAAAUUUACAUGUAUUCACAAACUAAUAGGCCAAUUAUGUUAUAAAAUAAUUAAUGUCGCUAUAUAUAACACUAAAAUUUAUAAUGUCGCUAUAUUCACAAGCUAAUAUCACAUUAAGUAUUAACCACACACUUAUUCAAAAGCUAAUAGGGCAAUUAUAUUAUAAAAUAAUUAAUGUCGCUAUAUAUAACACUAAAAUUUAUAAUAUAUAUUUAAUGCAUAUAUAAAUUUAAAUAAUAAAUUUAGUGACAAUUAAAUUUGAUCUAAUAAUUAAUUUAUUUACAUAUAUGAAUUAUUGUAAAUAAAACCUAUGAUUUUUAUUUAUAAUAUAUAUAUAUAUAUAUAUAUAUAUAUAUAUAUAUAUAUAUAUAUAUACAUUAGUAUAUUUAUGUUAAUAAUGUAGUUUUUUACAUAUAUAAAAUUAUAUUAAACCUACGGUUUUUAUUUACAAUUUAUAUAUGUAAAUAAAUUAAUUAUUAUAUCAAAAUUAAUUAUCAUGUAAAUUAAUUUACAUGUGCAUUAAAUAUACAUUAAAAGUUUUAAUGUUAUAUAUAACGACAUUAAUUAUUUUAUAACAUAAUUGACUUAUUAACUCAGUUCGUUAGAGUGUUGUACUAAUAUCGUGAAAGUCACAGGUUUAAUUUCUGCCUAGACAAUUAAUUUUAAAUUAAUUUGUAAAAUAUAUCUUUUAAAAAAUUAAUAAAAAAAUUGUAUGAACCACUUACGGAUUGAGUAAUCUAUAAGUCAAUUAUGAAUUUGUAAUUGAUUUAUGAAUUGUGAAUCCGUAAACCAAUUACGGAAAGACAAUAUGGGAAUUACAAAUAUUGUGCUGGGUGUACCAGAAAAACAAAUGGGGCGCGUAGCAAUUCUGAAACCAAUAAUGUUUUGGGGAAUUGCUAGGGGCACCCAGCAAGAUUGCUGGUGCACCCAACAAUUUUUUAGAAUUCCCAAAAUACCCCUUAACGUUUCCGUGGAAGAACCUUCUUCCGCAGUCAAUGUUACAACUGUGGAAGAACCUUCUUCCGUGCCAUCUCACGGAAGAACUUCUUCCGGAGGAAGCCACAGAAGAAGGUUCUUUCGUAGUUAUAAAUUACAACUACGGAAGAACCUUCUUCCGUGAGUUCUUACGGAAGAACUUAUUCCAUGAGUUAAUUUAUUUUCUCGGUUUUAAAAUUUUUGAAUUAUUUUGUAUUAGCCUAUGUUAUUUUUUAUUCGAGUUAUUAUUACAAAAUUUAGUGCAUUUUUAAUUUGGGUUAUUAUUAAAAAAUAAAAAAUAUUUAUUUAAUAUAUAUUAAAUUUUGUAAUAGUAAAAAAUUUGUGAUAGUAAAUAUUUUUUAUUUUUAAAUAAAUAUACGGAUUAAAUAUGUUUUAUUUAAUCUGGGUUACUAUUAUAAAACUUAAUGUAUACUUAAUUUGGAUUACUAUUACAAAAUUUAAUACAUUAAAUAUUUUUGUAAUAGUAACCUGAAUUAAUGCACUAAAUAUUUUUUAUUUAAUUCGGAUUACUAUUAUAAAAUUUAAUGCAUGAAAUAUUUUUGUAAUAGUAACCAGAAUUAAAUAUGCAUUAAAUAUUUUUAUUUAAUUCGGAUUGCUAUUACAAAAUUUAGUGCAUAUUUAAUUCGGGUUAUUAUUACAAAAUAAAAAAUAUUUAUUUAAUAUAUAUUAAAUUUGUAAUAGUAAAAAAAUUUGUGAUAGUUAAUAUUUUUUUAUUUUUAACUCACGGAAGAAACUUUUUUCCGCAGUUAAAGUCGCGUUUUUUAAACAAGGGCAGUUUUGUCCAUUCACAUAAUUUCUGGGUGCACCAACAAUUUUGUUGGGUGCACCUAGCAACUCCCAUGUUGUGUGUUGGACUUUUAUGGACUUUCUUAUAUUUAGGGUUUUUUAAUUGUAAUCCAUAGGCCUAGUAUAUCAACACACUUUCGUAUGAACUAGGGUUAUCAGAAAUUAAAUGUAGAAGCAGUAUUCUUUAAGCUUUCCUUUAUCGUCCACUUGCAAUUUAUCUUUCUUAGUCUAGUUAGCAGCAGAGUCUAUCAAUCUAAAUGUGAAAUGCUAUUCAGUUAUCUAAGACUGGACCACUUUAGAAGAUAAGAACGAAACAUCGUAGUCCUAAAAAUGCAUUAUUAUGGCGUCAUAUGUAAAGGUGAUUCUCACAAAAUAUUUCUCAUGCUGGUGUUGGUCAGCAUAACACAUUUUAUCUUUAAGCUUUCCUUUAUCGUUCCCUUGCAAUUUAUUUUUAGCAGCAGAAUCUAUCAAUCUAAAUGUGAAAUGCUAUUCAGUUAUCUAAGACUGAACCACUUUAGGAGAUAAGAACGAAACAUCGUAAUUCUAAAAAUGCAUUAUUAUGGCGUCAUAUGUAAAGGUGAUUCUCACAAAAUGUUUCUCAUGCUGGUGUUGGUCAGCAUAACACAUUUUUCUUCUAGAACACAGGAUAUCUAGGCAAUUCUAUCAUGAGCAUAAUGCUUUACGUAAAACAGCCAAUCAAAAACUCAAGAUAAAAUUGAAAUAAUUUCAGUUCAAGCUUCCUUCUAAGUAAUUCAUGCAUUUUCCUUUUCUUUGCUGACUUGUCGUUAAUUUUAAAUUAAUUGAAGGAAAGGGAACAAUUGAUUUGAAUUAUUAUAUUUUCUGAAGCAAAAAAUAACACUAUAUUAGUUUCCUUUAUUUUAAUAGGAAAAAAAUAAAGCUUACAAAUGUUAUCAUUGAUUUGGUUAAGGUAUCUAAAGUUCGGAAACCAAAAAACUAAAAUAAAAUGAUCUACAAUAUAAAAAAAAAAGAUACAAUACAACACUAGAAAAGAACAAUUAAAACUCAAGCAUGUUUAUUAAGUUCAAUCUUUCAGCUAUAUAUAAGUGAGAAUGUAGAGCUAAUCCAUUGAAGAUGAGCUUGACAUUACCAGCUCAUUGGCAACCUGCUCCAUGGUAGGGCGAGAUCGUGGACUUUCAGUCAAGCAGGCCAUUGCUAUCUUUGCAAUUGAUGCCACUUCCUUACCAAUUGGCUUUGUUGGAUGAGGGAGACGUGGGUCCAACUUAUCCAUCAAUGCCAUGUGAUCGAGUGUUGAGGCCACAAGGGUAGAUGGAGAUGAUCCCAAUAAAGAAGAUAUAUCAUCACCAGGGUGCUUCCCAACAAGUAUUUCCCAUGCUAGGACCCCAAAACUAUACACGUCACAUUUCUCAUUCACCUCCAUUGUGUAUGCAAGUUCUGUAACAAAAUAAAAGUGCUAUCACACGCAAAAUAGGAUUCUAGUGACAAAGGCAAAAUGUGGACAAUUGUGACUAAGAAAGGCAAACUAAAAAAUAUGAUAUCCUCAAUUUAGUAUAAAGAAAGGUAAUUAACCUGGAGCAGCAUAUCCAAAGGUUCCUACGAAUGAGGUCCAAUUGGAUGAAUCUGGAUUAAGAAACUUGGCUGUUCCAAAGUCUGAGACAUGAGCUACAUAUUCGGAAUCCAAAAGAACAUUCUUGCUUGAUAUAUCACGAUGAACAAUUCGAGGUGAGCAUUCAUGGUGCAUAUAGCACAAAGCAUUUGCUACAUCUUUAACAACAUUCACCCUCUUAUACCAAUCAAAUGCCAUUGCUUGUCCAUCAUCCUUCAGAGUCUUCUCAACACUGCCAUUCUCCAGGAAUUCACACACCAAAAAUGAGAAUUGUGAAUGUGAACAAAACCCAUAUAACUUUACAAUGUUACGAUGUCGAAUUUCUGUCAAAGCUUGGAUCUCACAUGUGAAAGCUUUCAGAUUGAGCAUCUCUCCAUUUGGAACUGAAUGGAGUUUCUUCACAGCAACAACUUGACCUGUAGGCAGCACUGCUUUGUAAACACAUCCUUGCCCUCCAACACCAAUGAGAUGUUUGUCGUCAAAAUCUUCUGUGGCUUCAAUAAUAUUCUCGAAUACCAUUUUGCCAUCAAAACUCCAUAUUGCAAAUAUGUUAGGAGUUUGUAUACUUGUAGCCUGGUCUUCUUUGUUCGUUGAGGUUUGGCAUAAAUGAUACCAGACUCCGAAAGCAAAUAAUGCCAGUAUUAGAAUGCCCAAAGUAAGGGGUAAAAUUACUAUCAUUACUUUCUUCCUCAUAUGAUUAUGAGAUUUCCCACUUGAUGUUGAGCAAGGCUCCAAGCCAGUGACAUUGCCACACAAGCCUUUAUUAUUUCUCAAUGCUUCAAUUUUAGCAUUGUGGAAGGCUAGAAUGUUUGGAAGUGGACCCUCAAACUGGUUGUAUGAUAUAUCAAUAGAUGUCAAGCUCGUCAUAUCAUCGAAGCUAGAGAGAUUACCUGAAAGAUUAUUGUGAGAGAGAUUCAGUGUUUCUAAGCUUUUUAAUUCUCCAAACAUUGAAGGUAUUGUUCCUCUCAAUGAAUUUCCACCAAGAUCAAGACUCGUAAGAGAUUUCAGUUUGCCAAGCUCUGAAGGAAUAUUUCCCUGAAAAUUAUUUUGGCUCAGACUCAUGUUCCAUAAAUUGAGCAAAUUUCCUAGUUGUUUUGGGAUUAAGCCAGACAACUUAUUUGAUCCAAGCUUCAAAAUUUGAAGUUUCUGCAUUGAUGCUAUUUCUUUGGGAACAUUUCCUGUAAGAUUAUUGUUGUCGAGUGAGAGAUCAAACAAGGGCAAGUUACAUAAAUCAUGUGGAAUGUUUCCUGUAAGAUGGUUUGAAGACAGCUGAAGUCGUUGUAAUUUGGUUGCCCCAGCUAGCUCUGGUGGUAUCACACCUGAUAAAUUAUUGUUGGAGAUCCUGAGGCUUGUGAGGCUACGAAACUUUCCCCAGUUAGGUGAAAGUUGACCAUAAAAGUUAUUGUCACUCAAUUCGAUGUAGUCCAAAUUUGGAAGUACACCAAAAGCAUCUGUUAUAUCCCCAGUUAGCUGGUUUCGCUGAAGCCUGACUCUUAUAAGGCUGGAGCAAUUCUUCAAACUCACUGGAAUUGGCCCUAUGAAGUUGUUAUCACCUGCGGUAAAAUUUUUCAACGUUCCACCAAUGCAAAUGUUUUGAGGUAAAUGGCCUAUAAAAUUAUUGUCAGCUAGCUGCAAACUUUCCAGAGCAGUAAGCAUGCUCAUUUCUAUUGGAAUCUUGCCACCAAGUUCAUUUCCAAUAAAAAAUAAUUCCCUGACAUUUGAUAAAUUUCCAAUAGUUGAAGGAAUUGAUCCAGUGAGUUCAUUCAAGGAUAUAGAUAAUACACUAAGCUUUGACAAAUUUCCAAUGGUGAAAGGAAUGGACCCAGAGAGUUUAUUUUCUUCAAGGAGCAAGGAGUCCAAAUGGACCAAGUUGCCUAUGGAAGCUGGGAUUGGUCCAGUGAGUUCAUUAGAGUGUAUAGAUAAUUUACUAAGCUUUGACAAAUUUCCAAUGGUGAAAGGAAUGGACCCAGAGAGUUUAUUUUUAAAAAGGCGCAUGGCUUCCAAAUUGACCAAGUUGCCUAUGGAAGCUGGGAUUGGUCCAGUUAGUUCAUUCAAGGAUAUAUAUAAUCCACUAAGCUUUGACAAAUUUCCAAUGGUGAAAGGAAUGGACCCAGAGAGUUUAUUUUCUUCAAGGAGCAAGGAGUCCAAAUGGACCAAGUUGCCUAUGGAAGCUGGGAUUGGUCCAGUGAGUUCAUUAAAGGAUAUAGAUAAUACACUAAACUUUGACAAAUUUCCAAUGAUAAAAGGAAUGGAUCCAGAGAGUUUAUUUUUAUGAAGGAUCAUGGAGUCCAAAUUGACCAAGUUGCCUAUGGAAGCUGGGAUUGGUCCAGUGAGUUCAUUAGAGUGUAUAGAUAAUUUACUAAGCUUUGACAAAUUUCCAAUGUUGAAAGGAAUGGACCCAGAGAGUUUAUUUUUAAAAAGGCGCAUGGCUUCCAAAUUGACCAAGUUGCCUAUGGAAGCUGGGAUUGGUCCAGUUAGUUCAUUCAAGGAUAUAUAUAAUCCACUAAGCUUUGACAAAUUUCCAAUGGUGAAAGGUAUGGACCCAGAGAGUUUAUUUUCAUAAAGGAGCAAGGAGUCCAUAUUGACCAAGUUGCCUAUGGAAGUUGGGAUUGGUCCAGUGAGUUCAUUAGAGUAUAUAGACAAUACACUAAGCUUUGACAAAUUUCCAAUGAUGAAAGGAAUGGACCCAGAUAGUUUAUUUUUAUGAAGGAUCAUGGAGUCCAAAUUGACCAAGUUGCCUAUGGAAGAUGGGAUUGCUCCAGAGAGGCUGUUAUCAUAAAAGGAAAGAUAAUAUAAAUUGCUCAAGUUUCCAAUUGUAGAGGGGAUUUCACCAGAGAGAAAGUUAUCAGACAAAUCAAGUCGAGCAAGUUGUUUCAAAAAACCAAUUUCAGGAGGAAUGAAGCCAGAAAGAUUAUUAUUUCCGAGAUAUAGAUUCUGGAGGUUAACCAACUUCCCAAUUUCACGAGGAAUGUGACCUAAAAGUUUGUUUUUGUGUAGCCUUAUACGUGUUAGAUUGACCAGUGCUCCAAUUUUAGAGGGGAUUUCACCAGAGAGAAAGUUAUCAGACAAAUCAAGUCGAUCAAGUUGUUUCAAAAAACCAAUUUCAGGAGGAAUGAAGCCAGAAAGAUUAUUAUUUCCGAGAUCUAGAACCUGGAGGUUAACCAACUUCCCAAUUUCAUGAGGAAUGUGACCAAAAAGUUUGUUUUCGUGUAGCAUUAUAAGUGUUAGAUUGACCAGUGCUCCAAUUGAAAUAGGAAAGGACCCAAUAAGAUUACACAUGCGUAUGUCAAGUUGUUCUAAAUUACGCAACGUCCAUAUUUCUUCGGGCAUGGAGCCAGACAAGCCACUUUUCCACAUACGUAGAAUCUUUAGGUUCCUUAACUUCCCAAUAUCACGAGGAAUAGACCCGCUGAAACUGGAUUGGCUCAUGUCAAGCCAUGUUAGAUUCCUCAGCAUCCAUAUUUCUUUGGGAAUGGAGCCAGAAAGCCCACUUUUCCAAAGCCAGAGAGUCUCGAUGCUCCUCAAAUUCACAAUUUCUUUGGGGAUGGAACCGUUGAAGUUAUUACCAGCAAAUGACAAAUGCUUUAGGUUCAUAUGCCAAAUUCUCAGCUGAAUGUUGCCAGAAAGGUUGUUGCUUUCGACAUCUAGAUGAGACAAAAUGCUUAACUUUUCUAUUGAGAUUGGGAUAGUCCCUGAGAUAUUGGACCGAGGAAUAUCAAGUAUUCUCAGAUUCAUCAAUCUACCUAUUUCUUGAGGAAGGGAUCCAGUGAAAUUAUUAUCACCUAUGCGCAAUGUAUGAAGACCAACCAAGUGUACUAUUUCAGAAGGAAUAGUACCAGAGAGAUCAUUGUCAGAAAGAUUAAGAAACAAGAGUUUGGAGAGAUUACCAAUGGUAUUGGGAAUGCUACCAAAGAGGUUAUUAGUGGACAAGUCAAGAGUGUUGAGAUUGGAUAAGGAACCAAUUUGAGGAGGAAUAGUUCCAUUCAGGGAGUUGUGACUCAUAUUUAGAGUGAGAAUGUUUGGAAGUAAUGAGAAGUUGAGAUUUUGAAGCGUACCUCUUAAUCCAACAUUUGUAAGAUUUAUGUUGGAAACAGAAUUGAACUCAUCACAUGCAAUUCCGAGCCAAAUGCAAGGAUUGUUGCCACUCCAUGAAGAGAGAGAAGCACGACUUUGGUUGUCAAGGCUGGAUUUCCACUUCAACAAAGCAUUUGCUUCUGAAGCAAUCUCAGAAGAAGCAGCAAAUGCACAGAAGUACAUCACAAGAAGCAGCAAAAGUGGUUGGAGCUUCAUGGACAGAAGCGUUGGAAAUAUGAACACCAUGAGUAAAUUUUGAGGAAGGAUUCAAUCACAGAUUGUCUGAUACAAUCAAAUGCAGGAGAAGUACUUACAAGCAAUUCAUGGGAUAUGCAUAUUUAUAUGCAAAACAUCAUGAAACACGAACCAGAGUCAAGAAAUAUUGUACUUUUCUUUCGUUGAAGUCAAGAGAUAUUUUACUGUAUCUACAUAAAUAUAUGUUACAGCUUGGUUCAAAAUAGAAAAGUUUUACACCUUUAAUCUCCAACCUUUUGCAACUGUGCUUUCGAAGCUAUCCUUUUUAUUUUAAGCUUUUGACGUUUUUUAAAAACAUAAUUCAAUAAUUAUAAUUUUUUAUAAAACAUUUAUUUUGAGUUAAAAAUAAGCCCGUGUUUUUUGGUAUAGAUUUUUUUGUCUAACAAUAGAUAUUCUUUAAUGAAAGUUAUGUUCUUCAAGUCAAAUACCAUAAUUAUGAAUAAUCAGAAGUCAAACUUGAAAUUACUACUUAAGCUUGAACAACUCACAUUAAUUGAUUCACAUAUUCACUCACUAUUUUUUUUUUUUUGGUACUAUGAACAUUAAAUCAUCAUGAUAAUUUUUUUACUAAAAAGUUGAAGAUCUUGAAUGAACUAAAAAUAUAAUCAAAAUAUAAUAUAUAACUGAAAAGUAAUCAUAAUCUUAUAAGUUGAGUUUAUAAGAUUAAGUUAAGUUUAUAUUCAAAUUGUAAGAGUAAAUUAGAAUUUUUAUUCAUUAUUUAUAUUUUAGGUUUUAAUUUAAUUAGUCCAUUAAAUUUAAAUUUUUUUACUUUAGUUUAGACCAUUAAAAUUUCUCUUUGUUAAACAAGUUUGGUGACAUGAAUAAAUUGUAAGAGAUAUCAUAUGGGCUAAAAUUGACAUUAUUAGUGUAAAAAACAAAUUUGGUCUAACCCAUGUGAUAGAUGAAAAGAAACUUUUGAAGUACAAAAUCCCAAACUAAAACUUAAAAUAUACAUAAGAAUCCAAUUUUUUUUUUUAAAAAAAAAACCUUUUUUGCUUCUCUGUCUUGGUUGAGAAUUAUUUUGGUUGCUUAUUUUUUGUGAUUUUUCCUGUCCUAAUUAUAUUUUUUAUCCAUAAAACAAAACUCAAAUGUAAGACAUUAAUUAUUUAAGGAAAUAAGAGAAAUAGCGUAAUAUCACUUAAUUCAAUAACUUAUAGGUAAGUGAAACAUUUUCUAUAUUACUUUUUUUAUAUUUUUCAUUUGUAUUUCUAUUGCAGAUUAAUUACAAUUUGAUUUCAGUUGUCACAUAUAUGAUUAUCGUACUUCACAAAAUCAAAAUUAAAAUUUACUUUUAAAUUAUUAUCUUUUAAUUAUGACCAAUUAUUUUCUCAAUAUACAUUACUUACUUUAUACUUUCUCUCUCCUUUUUAUUUUUUAAUUUAAAAUAUUAUAAAAUAUAAAUAUUAUAUUAUAUAAUUUUUUAAUUGAUUUUAAAAUUACUUAUUUAUUAAAUUAAUUUUUAUAUAUAUAUUUUAAUUUAUUUUAAAGAAAAUAAUAUUAUUAAAUAUAAUUAUUUUUGUUUUUUUAUUUAAUUUACUUAACGUAUUUUUUAGGUGAAUAUUUUUAUUUAAAAUCUGAAUUUUCUCAUAUAAUUAUUUUUAAUAUAAUUAUAUUAUUAAGUAGAAUUAGUUUGUUUAUGUCAUUAGAAUUAAUUUAAAAAUGAGAGACUUUUUGUUUAACGGUUUAUUCAUAAUCAUUAUAUUGCAUUAUAAUACUUAAAAAAUUAUAUAUGACUAAGAAAAAAUUAAAGAUGAAGAUAUGUUAGGGCGAUUAUUUCUGUUAUAAUCAUGUUGCCCGUAAAAUUCAUAUUUUUUUCUACGUUCAGAGUUAAAAUUGAACUACCCUUUGCCGUCCUCUUUCUUUUAUUUUUCAUAUUUUUAUUUUUUAUAAGUCAUAAAUAAUAAAAAUAUCAAUUUUUAUCACUUAAGUCAAAGAUAAUUAUUAAAUAAAGAAAACAUACAAAAAAAAGGACAAAAUAAAGGAAGACUACUAACGCGGAUAUAAGAAAACCCAAGCAUGCCCACUGCAUCCAGGACCAGCCCUAGUAACAACCCUUAGGGAGGGUUACAUGAUCACGAUUUGAUUUGACAUGCUUCUAGAUUAACGACUCAAAUGAAAAAUAUUGAAUUUCCUUCCUUUUUUAAUAUAUAUAUAUAAAUGAAUUUAUUAUUCAAUAAAAGAAUUAAAAACGUCAUUAAAACCCUAAAUUUUAUAGAAAUUAAUGUAAAAUAGCAAGCACGUUAGAGUAAAAUAUCCUUUUUUACUUCAUUCACGCUCUAUCAUCCUAUUUAGUUAAGGUACUAAAAGGCAAGGGUUGAAAUUAAUAUAUAAUUUAAUUAAUUUAUUAAAACGACUCAUACAAAAAAUUUCAAUGUUCUAUCAUUGCAUUAGAUUUUACUAAAAGCCAAUUUAGUGUUCUUAAUUUUUUUUUAUCAUUAUCAAUUAAGUAUUAAAAUAUUUAUUAAUAGCAAUAUUACUAGAAUAAAUUACACUUUCCUCUCUGAAAAAAUACGAAUAUCACACUAUCAUCUCCUCUUAUAUUAAAAAUUUUACUCUCUUUACCUAACAAAUUUGAAUACAUGACUCUUUAUUUCUUUUUAAUUUUGCGUUAAAAUAAACUACAUUAUUAAAAUAUUCUUUACAAUACCACCUCCUCAAAGGUGCAAAUAUUUCACUGCACUCCCUUCUUCUGUUAAAAUACAUACUUCACCCUUAACUAAUAUGUGCGCGCGUGUGUAUAUAUAUAUAUAUAUAUAUAUAUAUAUAUAUAUAUUUAUUAUUUAUAUAUAUAUAUAUAUAUAUAUAUAUAUAUAUAUAUAUAUAUUUAUUAUUUUUUUGGAUAUUUCGUUUUAAAAUGUUUGAUAAUUAAUUUUUUUAAACAAUACACACACUUACACACAUUUAUUUGUUUAUGUUAGUACUGAAUUUUGUUAUAAUUAAAUUUUAUUUAAUAAUAUAUUUUUACAUUAAUAUAUUCAGGUGAAAAGUUAUACGUUACAUUUAUUAAAAUUAAUAAAUAUAGUAUUUAAAUUUAAUAAUAGAGGAUAUUAUGAAAGUUAAUUAUAAAUUAUUUUUUAUGACAAAUUUUUAACCAUUGCUGAAGUACUAGAUUCCCACCCUUAAUUACAGUACACGCGUAUAAAUUAGUUCAAAAUACUCCAAUUGAAAAUUUGAGUCAUAACUUUUCAUUUCCAAAUUAACAUAAUAUUGUUUGCAUAAUUAAGUCAAUUUAUUAGCUUAUUUGUUUCGUGUUUUUAGUUUUACACCACGCUCUAUUAAAUGUUUGUAACCUAAAAAAUUAUCUAUUUGAAGUGAGUUUUUUUGGUGUGUAUGAAACCCAAGUUAGAAUUCUAAACAGAAAAAAUUAUUCCCUACUAUAACGCUAACGCUAUAUUAUUUGGUUUUAGCCUUGAGCGUUUGGAACGGGGGGAAAUGAUGUUGGCAUUUGAUGAGAGAAUUAUUGUGUUGAAUGAUGUACGUACAUGUAUAUAUCAUUCGCACUGCGUCAGGAAGCCCUUUGAAGCACCUAUUAUUAAUUUCUGCCUCCUUUGACUUGUUGACAAGUGUAUCAAAAUAUCAUAAAUAUUCGAAUGUUCGAGUAUGCUCAUAGAUUUUGUUUGUACUUAGAUAAAUACAAAUCUAAUUUUACGAAGCAAGAGAUAAGAAAUUUAAAAUAAAAAAUAAAAAAAGAUAAUAGAUAAGAUAAAUAUUUAAAGAUUAAAAGAUGAUAAAACUAAAAAAGAGAUAAGAUAAGAAAAGUAAAAGAUAACAUAAAUAAAAGAUAUGAAAAGAUAAGAUAUGAUAAUAUUGAGACCUGACAUGUCCUAAUUUACCUAGGAUGUAUGACUUUAUGAUUUUUCUUUACCAUGGGCAUAAUGCAAUCACUCUAUGCCUAAUGAUUUUAUUAUGAUAUUUUUUUUCUUGUUCUAUGAGAAGUUAUCUUCUCCCGAAAGUCUAACCCCUAAAACUAAUGCAUGCAUAUCUUUAAAGAUGAGUAUGCAAGAUAAAUAAUGAAGAGUACAUCAUACAUCACAAGGCUUGCUAGGCCCUAACUAAGGGUUUAGCCACCCAUGACCAAUGAGAAGAUGAGUGAAAGAAAGAGAGGGAGUAAAUGAAAUCCUUAGGAGAGGGGUUCCGUGGUGGUGUGUUGUUUCCUCCCUUGGACUGACUCUUUAUUUAUAGCUGUUGAAGUAGGCUUUGGGCCUUCUAUUUAUCACUGUUGAAGUAGGCUUUGGGCCUUCGUAGGCGCGCUUAGCGCGACACCCCUCGCUCAGUGCGUAUUGUAGGCUUAGCAUGUACUUCUGUUGGAUCGCAGGCUUAGCGCGCGUGUUGCAAGUUUAGCACGUUCUAGUUCAGUUAUGCGCGCUUAGCGCCGGUUGUGCGCUAGGCGCAUGUGAAAACUCUCGAGUUUAACGCCUUGCUUAGCGUCUAUGGUUUCUGACGCGCUUAGCGCGUAUUGGGCUGAGUCUGUUCAGAUUUUUUUCUUUUCUUUUAUUUUUUUGAUCUUUUUGCUUGUUACACCUCCAAUUUUUAUAUCUACAACCAAAAUUUAACAAAACAUCAAUUCUUUAAUAUUUAAGUGCAAAUAACUGUUAAAUAAUUAUUUUUAAAGAUAAUUUUACCUUAUUUUUUAUUUUCAAAAUACAAUUAUUUAAUAGUUAUCUGCCUCCAAUCUAUUCAAAUUCCGUAAAAGCUUUGAUCUAACUUGCAUCCAUCUUGCGUGAUGAACAAUCAAAGACGUACUAGCAAGUCUUACAACCUAUAUCAUACUUUUGUGACAUAAUAUAUUAAUUACUCUAUAAAAUAUAUUAAGAAGACAGUUCCUAUUGAAAAUAGAAAGUGUGUGACGAGUAAAUCAUUAUUUUGUUAAAUAUUUAUUUUUGUAAAUCCUGAAUCAUCAUCAUUGUCAUUAUCAUCGACUUAGUCUUGCUUGUGUAGUGACACUUUUAAUUUCAACAUGAAAGGGACAGUAUGAAUGUAACGUCUUGCAAAUCCACCACGUAUAAUUAUGUUUCAUUAUUAUCCAUUCAUUAUUAUCCAUUAGACCAUUUUCCAAACAACUGUACUUAAACAAUAUAAGUAUGUAAUAUAUAUAUAUAAGGGAAUUUAAAAUAUUGGUUCCAAAUUUUUUGAAUAAACAUCAUAAUGUGAAAUAUUUAUUAUUAUUUUAUUUAAAUUAUAUCUAUUAUAAAAAAUAAUUAUGUUUAAAUCAAAUAAAAUUAUCAUGAAUUAUAAAACUCUUUCUUCAAAUAUUAAUUUAAUAUAAAUGUAUGCUCAGAAUUCGAGUUCAAGACUAUUAUUCGUUAAACAAGAUUAUACCCAAGCCAAUUAAUUCAAGCCUUGACGAUAGUAUUUAUUAAUUUUACUAAUAAAUUUUUAAAAAAAUAUGACUGGUCACAUAUGAUGCUUUUACAAAAAAUAAGACAGUAGUGACAUUUUACUAAAGGUUUUAGUUUAGGGAAAAGAGAGUGUAAUUUCCUCUCGAAGAAUAUGACACUAUUUAUGAAGUCAAUGCAAGUCUUGACGGGUUGUCUUGCAUAAUGCAUACGUUGGUAAAUUUCAAAUUUCUUUUGGCAUUUGAAGGGAAAGAUACAAAAAAAAAAAAAAAACAAAGGAUAAAACAAAGGAAGACUACGACGCGCAUAUAAGAAAACCCAAGCAUGUGCACACUUCAUCCAGCCCUAAUAAGUAAUAACCCUUAGGGAGGGUUACAUGAUAACGAUUUGAUUUGAUAUGCUUCUAGAUUAACGACUCAAAUGAAAAAUAUUGAAUUUCCUUCUUAAUUUUUAUAAUAUAUAUAAAUGUAUUUAUUAUUCAAUAAAAGAAUCAAAAACGUCAUUAAAACCCUAAAUUUUAUAGAAAUUAAUGUAAAACAGAAAACACGUUAGAGUAAAAUAUCCUUUUUUACUUCAUUCACGCUCUAUCAUCCUAUUUAGUUAAAGUACUAAAAGGCAAGGGUUGAAAUUAAUAUAUAAUUUCAUUAAUUUAUUAAAACGACUCAUACAAACUUUUUUAAUGUUCUAUCAUUGCAUGCAUUAGAUUUUACUAGAAGCAAAUUUAGUCUUCUUAAUUUUUUUGUUAACAAUAUUAAUUAAGUAUUAAAUAUUUAUUAAUAGCAAUAUUACUGGAAUAAAUUACACUUCCCUCUCUUAAAAAAUACGAAUAUCACACUAUCAUCUCCUCUUCUAUUAAAAAUUUUACUCUCUUUACCUAACAAAUUUGAAUACAUUACACUUUCUUUCUUUUUAAUUUUACGUUAAAAUUCUGUUUGUUUCUUUUAAAAUAAACUAGAUUAUUAAAAUAUUCUUUACACUACCACCUCUUCAAAGGUGCAAAUAUUUCACUGCACUCCCCUCUUGUGUUAAAAUACAUACUUCAUCUCUUAACUAAUGCGUGCGUGCGCGAUAUAUAUAUAUAUAUAUAUAUAUAUAUAUAUAUAUAUAUAUAUAUAUAUAUAUAUAUAUUUAAAUGUGUGANNNNNNNNNNNNNNNNNNNNNNNNNNNNNNNNNNNNNNNNNNNNNNNNNNNNNNNNNNNNNNNNNNNNNNNNNNNNNNNNNNNNNNNNNNNNNNNNNNNNNNNNNNNNNNNNNNNNCAUAUAUAUACAUGUGGAAAGUUAUGCGCGCGUUACAUUUAUCAGAAGUAAUAAAUAUAGUAUUUAGAUUUAAUAAUAGAGGAUAUUAUGAAAAUUAAUCGUAUAUUAUUUUUUCAUGACAAUUUUUUACCCAUUGUUGAAGUACUAGAUUUCCACCCUUAAUUACAAUGUACGGGUAUAAAUGAGUUCAAAAUACUCUAAUUCAAAAUUUGAGUCAUAACAUUUCAUUUCCAAAUUAACAUAAUAUUGUUUGCAUAAUUAAGUCACUUUAUUAGCUUAUUUAUUUUCGUGUUUUUAGUUCUACACCACUCUCUAUUUAAUGUUUGUAACCUAAAAAAUUAUCUAUUUAAAGUGAGUUUUCUUUAUCGGCAAUAUUAAGACAAAAUCAAAACCGCUAUUUUUAUCAUGGUUCCUUUCUCUCUUCCCUUCUAUUUAAGGUGGGUAUGCUUAGUAAUUAUAGAAGACAAAACAAACAUAUACUAUUUAGUGGGUUAAAGUUGUUAUUUUUUAUUUGAAAAGAAAAAAACAAUUACUAAUAAUAAGUAAUGUAUAUACAUCUUUCAAUUUGACAAACAUUAAAUUAAACUUAAAGUGAAUUACUUAUGCACUUUAAUUUCAAGAAAUUAAGCUCAAUUUCAAUGAAAUUUAAUAAUUUGAUACUUUGUCUUUUUAAGAGAAAAUGUCCAGUAGAACUGGGAAAGUAUUAAUAACAUAAUAAUAAUCUUGAGCUUUCUUUAAAGGCAGCAUUAUAGUUGAGAAUGUGGCACCAGAUAUACUAUUACAAUCUGUGCUUAUAGAGUUUCAAUGCACUCAAUUUCAAUCUUGGCAUCCAAUGGCAAUUUAGCCACUUCUUAAAUUGAACCAUUGGAAAAGCAGCUAAGUAAAAUUGUUGAAGUAAUUAUAGGCAUUAAUUAUGAGUGAAAAUUAAAUAAUACCAACUCAAGGGGAAAAUCUUAUGAUUUUCAGCAUAGUACUAGUAGUUUCUCUAGCAUUAAUCAUCCUUAUUAUAUAUUAAAUAUGACAAGUUGACAAAAUAACCAAUUAUGUAUGACAAGAUGAAUCUUUAAGAGUUAAACCAUAAUAAAGCGUGAAGGUUUUAAAUCUAACACCUGCUCACUCUUUUUCCAUGUUACGUGUAUGUUACCUACAAGCUAACACAUUCUCAGCCCACAAAUGUAACAGGAUAAUUUUUACAGCACAGAAUAAAUUAUUGCCAUAAGUGAAAUUCAUUAGUAAACACACUACCCACUCUUUUAAAUGCACUCCUUACUAUUAGUUGAAAUCAGUUAGAAAUUGCUAAAUCUAUUCCCAGAGGAUCAUAUGUCAGUGGUAAAACAAUCAAAAUGCUAAUUCCUAAACACACAUAAAACUGGGAUCCCGAUUUCCUAGAGAGCCAUGCUAAGGGCAAAUCUGUCAAGUCUAAACUCUAUUACAUACUUACGUAGAAUACAAAGUACAAAGAUUUAUGAGUAUGAGUUAAAUAUACAACAUCAAAGAGAACCAACCAGACUUUCCAAUAUUUCCAAAUUUGAAAUGCAACUCUAGGAUUGUGUGGUAGCCUACUUGUUAAUUAUGCUACAACAUCCUAGUAAAACACUAAAGUAUCAGAAUUUCGGUGCUGAAUCACAUGAUUUUGCUUUAUAUGCAGCAGCAAAUUAGAGUACAAUAAAACCAAUGACAAUGACAAAGGUUUAUAUGUAGGUCAGUGUAGCACAGGUUUUAAUUUGGUUCGCAUACCUUGAGUGAAAAACCGCACACAGUUUUUGAUGGUACACAAAACCUAACAGUAGUAAAAGCUAAAUAAAUUACCAAGAAAUCUAAAAGCAAGUAAUAAAGUCAAAAUCAUUUUACAUACAAAGAGAAUGGCGCGAGAGAAAGGUUCACCAACAAUGGCAGAACCAGACCGCAAGAGGAAAACUCAAAAAAGAGAAAGAGCGAGGCAGAGACAAACAAUUACGAGAGCGAGAGAGACGACUCCAACGAUGGCAAUGUGAUAGGUAGGGUUUAUGAAAGGGAGGGCAAUAAUGGCGAGGGUCAAGGAAUAGAGCUUCGUGAGGGCAACAGUGGUGAAGGCACGGAUACAAACCCUACAUUGUUCCCCAUAACCCUAAUGCACAGAUACAAACAAUUAAAUAUUAUAUUAUAAUUUUUAAACCCUACCGCGUAAAACAAAAUCACUAAAUCCUAACACUAACUAAAAUUUAUUAAAAAAAACACUUUAAACAGGAGAAGCCUUUCAGGGUAACAGCUUCAAGGUGAAGCAGAUCAGGGUAGUUUCACCAAGUCAAUUUAACCAAAAAAGCACUUUAAACAAAAGAAAGUUUUCAGGGUAGCACCUCCUAUGUGAAGCAGACCAGGAUGACAACUCCUCUUGUACUGACAUCCACCUAAACAAAUGACAGAGAUCAGGGUAGCAUCAUUAUAGGAGGAGGCUUACUGAUGCUUCUCAUCAUCAACGUGAUAAAAAAAAAUUCAUCUUGAUAAAUAAUUUGUUGACCAACUCAUAUAGGUAAAUAGCUUUUAUUUUUCACCCAUAUUGAUAAAAAAGUUGACAAAUGACAUUAAUUUCAAAAUCAGGGAUAAAAAUAUGGGACCAAAUCAUUUGGUACCUACAUUUUUCAGUGGUAAAAAUCUGGGACAAAAGACAAAAUGGGAAAAAAUCUACGUGCACAAAUUGCAUUUGGCCUCCUCUAAGCUUAUGAGUGUAAAACUCUUUUUUAAUUAAUAUUCCAAGAGGCUCAUUUCUUUUAAAUGCAUGUCAUAUAAUUUGCCAAGAAAGAAAAAAUGGCAUAAAAAAAUUAACAUAUGCCAAAGCUUAAACAAAUACACUAUGUGAUUAAAAGGAACCGGUGAUAUAUAAUUGCUUUGAAAUCCCUGUGAAAGCUUCACUGUUAGGUUGAUUAGUUGCUCUCACUUAGUUGACAUAAUUUAAAGAAAACAAAAUCAAUUUCAAGGUUUAUGAAUUUCAGUUUGACCACAAUCAAACUGUAUAACAAAAAUCCAAUGAGACAACAAUAUUUUAAAGAAGAAAAAAAUGCAUCUUAUUACCACUCAUAAUGGAUGUACCAAUAAACUAGAAAAUAGAUCAUUAACAUUUAUUCUAAAGACAUUCAACAUCGAUUUUGAACCCGUGUUGAAACUAUCAUUAUUAAAAGUAUGUCAUUUUUUACAUUGGUUAUAAAAUUGAUGCUCAAAAUCACUUCCAAAACUAAUAUAAUAUAAUAGUAAAAAAUAUCGAUUUUAAUCAAAACUAAUAUUAUAAGUAUUAUAAAAUAUUGAUUUUGUUAAAACCGACGUUGUAUAGUGUAUACAUCAUUAGUUUUGACAAAACCAAUAUUUUACACUACUUACAACAUUGAUUUUUGCUAAAAUCGAUGUUAUUUUUGCUAUUAUACCACAUUAAUUUUGAUCAAAAUUAAUAUUGUACAAUAUUAUUUUUGAUAUAAUCGAUGUUGAUUAUGCAAAAAAAUAAAUAUAUUUUAUCUAUUUGUUAAAUAAAAUCAAACCUGCAAAUUAAAAACAAAACCCAUCUAAGCAUAUUAUAUAUAUAUAUAUAUAUAUAUAUAUAUAUAUAUAUAUAUAUAUAUAUAUAUAUAUAUAUAUAUAUAUAUAUAUAUAUAUAUAUAUAUAUAUAUAUAUAAAAUAAAGAAAUACUUAAAGGAUAUCAAACAAUGAUUUUUGGACCUCUAGUAAAGUACACUUAAAAAAAUUUCCUCUUUUUUUUACUACAUUAAAAAAUGCUUCAAAACAUACCAUCAAAGUUAAUAAAAGAUAAAUAUAACUCAGAAUAUAAUUCCAAAUAUAAUUUUUUUUUUUUUUUUGAGUUCAUCAAUCUUGUCAAACACGUAUAGUGUUUCUCUCUGUAAUGAAAGAGACAAAUAUAACUCCAAAUAUAACUCAGAAUAGAGAUGAGAUAAAAGAUGACUUGUGAGACUUACCUCAUGAGUUUCCCUUUAGAGACCGCUUCAAAUAUAACUCCAGUAUAAUAGUCAAGACCUUGGGUCAGACAUAUGUCAAAAACCACGUUAUCAAGGCGUUUUGAUUUAUCCAUAAGUUUAAAUAAAAUUUAUAGGUCAUUCAAUGCAUCAACGGAUCCAUCAUCUUUUAAGAAAGCACUGCCUUCUCUAAAUUUAGACAACAAUGCUAGAGGAGGUCCUUUUUCUUUGAUAUAAGUUUCAAUUUUGUCAGCAAUCUCAGCAAUUAAUCCUUUCUCUUCCUCCUACUGCAUGACAGUACAAAAACACAUCAUUAAACAUAACAUAUAUAUCAUGAUUACAAGACAACAACUUUCCGAUAUUACAGUAAUAGGGAAUAUUAUUGUCUCAAAUUUUAAUUGGUCAUACACAUAGAAAGAAACAAAAUCGUAAGUCUCAAAGACCUAAGGCAAUGAAUGUAGUGGAAUAUACUUGAACAGUUUUACGAACAUUUAAAUCAUGAAAUGCAAUUUCUUUUUUAUUUUAUCAAACAAUGUCUAAGUUUUGAAGCACCAAGUCUAAUCUAAUGUUAUUAAAUAAAAUAAUCCUUUGCAUUGAAGCACCAGAUCUUACCUCAUACAAACAAAUGAAUUAUAAGAAAGAAAGUCACAAUGGUGUCCUAGAAACCAUUAGAAUGAUAUGAAGAGUUCCUCAUUCUAACAGCAAGAGUCCAACGAAUAAUUUAAAGGCAAUAAUUACAGAGAACUUCACAAAAAUAUAAAUGUACAGGCAUCUUGCUUGGAUGCCAAUAAAUGAUAAAACACAACUUACACUAGUUUCUACAGUACAUAGAACAUUUUGCAGCCUCAGAUAACUGCAUCAAGACAAAUGAUAUAAGGUGCAAAAUAAUUGGUCAAGAUAAAAUGCAGAAAUAUAUAACAUAUUUACUAGCAUGGUUAUAGUCAUCACUCAACACAUUGUUACUAUAGACCAAAGACAACAUUAAACUUUGAACUAAUGAAAACAGUGGUAAAAAAUAGUUCAUUUGGUCAUCUAGGCAGGGCAGAAAAGAGACACACUGCCUCAGAAAACCCGAGGGAAGUAAGCCUGAUGAUGUGCCUAAUGGGACCAGAUCCUGUAAUUUCAGAUAACAUGCCAAUUUACCAUCGCUUAAGUACCCAUAGCCAAUGUAUCAAUAUGUGCAGGCUAGUUCAGAAAAACGGGGGCCCCUCUUUUUUUUCUUUUUUUUUUUUUUUUUCUUUUUUNNNNNNNNNNNNNNNNNNNNNNNNNNNNNNNNNNNNNNNNNNNNNNNNNNNNNNNNNNNNNNNNNNNNNNNNNNNNNNNNNNNNNNNNNNNNNNNNNNNNNNNNNNNNNNNNNNNNNNNNNNNNNNNNNNNNNNNNNNNNNNNNNNNNNNNNNNNNNNNNNNNNNNNNNNNNNNNNNNNNNNNNNNNNNNNNNNNNNNNNNNNNNNNNNNNNNNNNNNNNNNNNNNNNNNNNNNNNNNNNNNNNNNNNNNNNNNNNNNNNNNNNNNNNNNNNNNNNNNNNNNNNNNNNNNNNNNNNNNNNNNNNNNNNNNNNNNNNNNNNNNNNNNNNNNNNNNNNNNNNNNNNNNNNNNNNNNNNNNNNNNNNNNNNNNNNNNNNNNNNNNNNNNNNNNNNNNNNNNNNNNNNNNNNNNNNNNNNNNNNNNNNNNNNNNNNNNNNNNNNNNNNNNNNNNNNNNNNNNNNNNNNNNNNNNNNNNNNNNNNNNNNNNNNNNNNNNNNNNNNNNNNNNNNNNNNNNNNNNNNNNNNNNNNNNNNNNNNNNNNNNNNNNNNNNNNNNNNNNNNNNNNNNNNNNNNNNNNNNNNNNNNNNNNNNNNNNNNNNNNNNNNNNNNNNNNNNNNNNNNNNNNNNNNNNNNNNNNNNNNNNNNNNNNNNNNNNNNNNNNNNNNNNNNNNNNNNNNNNNNNNNNNNNNNNNNNNNNNNNNNNNNNNNNNNNNNNNNNNNNNNNNNNNNNNNNNNNNNNNNNNNNNNNNNNNNNNNNNNNNNNNNNNNNNNNNNNNNNNNNNNNNNNNNNNNNNNNNNNNNNNNNNNNNNNNNNNNNNNNNNNNNNNNNNNNNNNNNNNNNNNNNNNNNNNNNNNNNNNNNNNNNNNNNNNNNNNNNNNNNNNNNNNNNNNNNNNNNNNNNNNNNNNNNNNNNNNNNNNNNNNNNNNNNNNNNNNNNNNNNNNNNNNNNNNNNNNNNNNNNNNNNNNNNNNNNNNNNNNNNNNNNNNNNNNNNNNNNNNNNNNNNNNNNNNNNNNNNNNNNNNNNNNNNNNNNNNNNNNNNNNNNNNNNNNNNNNNNNNNNNNNNNNNNNNNNNNNNNNNNNNNNNNNNNNNNNNNNNNNNNNNNNNNNNNNNNNNNNNNNNNNNNNNNNNNNNNNNNNNNNNNNNNNNNNNNNNNNNNNNNNNNNNNNNNNNNNNNNNNNNNNNNNNNNNNNNNNNNNNNNNNNNNNNNNNNNNNNNNNNNNNNNNNNNNNNNNNNNNNNNNNNNNNNNNNNNNNNNNNNNNNNNNNNNNNNNNNNNNNNNNNNNNNNNNNNNNNNNNNNNNNNNNNNNNNNNNNNNNNNNNNNNNNNNNNNNNNNNNNNNNNNNNNNNNNNNNNNNNNNNNNNNNNNNNNNNNNNNNNNNNNNNNNNNNNNNNNNNNNNNNNNNNNNNNNNNNNNNNNNNNNNNNNNNNNNNNNNNNNNNNNNNNNNNNNNNNNNNNNNNNNNNNNNNNNNNNNNNNNNNNNNNNNNNNNNNNNNNNNNNNNNNNNNNNNNNNNNNNNNNNNNNNNNNNNNNNNNNNNNNNNNNNNNNNNNNNNNNNNNNNNNNNNNNNNNNNNNNNNNNNNNNNNNNNNNNNNNNNNNNNNNNNNNNNNNNNNNNNNNNNNNNNNNNNNNNNNNNNNNNNNNNNNNNNNNNNNNNNNNNNNNNNNNNNNNNNNNNNNNNNNNNNNNNNNNNNNNNNNNNNNNNNNNNNNNNNNNNNNNNNNNNNNNNNNNNNNNNNNNNNNNNNNNNNNNNNNNNNNNNNNNNNNNNNNNNNNNNNNNNNNNNNNNNNNNNNNNNNNNNNNNNNNNNNNNNNNNNNNNNNNNNNNNNNNNNNNNNNNNNNNNNNNNNNNNNNNNNNNNNNNNNNNNNNNNNNNNNNNNNNNNNNNNNNNNNNNNNNNNNNNNNNNNNNNNNNNNNNNNNNNNNNNNNNNNNNNNNNNNNNNNNNNNNNNNNNNNNNNNNNNNNNNNNNNNNNNNNNNNNNNNNNNNNNNNNNNNNNNNNNNNNNNNNNNNNNNNNNNNNNNNNNNNNNNNNNNNNNNNNNNNNNNNNNNNNNNNNNNNNNNNNNNNNNNNNNNNNNNNNNNNNNNNNNNNNNNNNNNNNNNNNNNNNNNNNNNNNNNNNNNNNNNNNNNNNNNNNNNNNNNNNNNNNNNNNNNNNNNNNNNNNNNNNNNNNNNNNNNNNNNNNNNNNNNNNNNNNNNNNNNNNNNNNNNNNNNNNNNNNNNNNNNNNNNNNNNNNNNNNNNNNNNNNNNNNNNNNNNNNNNNNNNNNNNNNNNNNNNNNNNNNNNNNNNNNNNNNNNNNNNNNNNNNNNNNNNNNUCCCUACAACAUUUUCUUGUGCAUGAUAUGCUUAACUGAAGCACUGGCUCUGGCAAAUAUUAGUUAGUUGAAAUUCGUGUAACAUAAAUUUAUGAAAAUAAUCAUUAGAAAAAAAAUAAAAGAAUAGAAAAAAAAACCGUCUCUAGAUCUGCCUUUGCUUGUUCACGAUCACAGUACUCGGCCCAUUCUCAUACACAUAUGCAUUGUUUUUUUUUUCAUAUAAGAGGCAACCUUAUAAGGUUAAUUGUAGUCUAUGCUUAUCACUAGCUACUUUGCCACCAACAUUUCAGUAGUUUUGCUAAGCUCAUGACCACCUACACAUGAUAAGGAAGAAAAAUAACUGAGUAUUAAAAAAUUGUCCAUCAUGACUCUAAAGGGAAAGAAAAACAAAACACAGCUUUCUGCUUCAAACUGAGUAUUAGAAGUUCCAUUAGUAGGAUCGUUUCACCUUAUGAGAUUUAAUUCUCUGGAUCUCAUCCUGUAGUCGUUUUGCAGCCUCGUCACUUUUGGUUUUGUCUCAAUAGUUGAGACUGAGAUUCUUGUUUCUAAAGAUGUGUUAUCAAUCAAGAAAACAAUAAUAUUUGCAUUUCAAUUUUUUUUAUCAUGUUCAUACUUAUAUAAAAAAUAGAAAAAAGCAUAUUUUUUAUCUUACCAUCUAAAAUUAUAAAAUAAUGAAUAUUUUUUAUUGUAAAAAUAUAUCGUUACUAAAUAUAUACAAUGUAUAUUUUAUUUUAUAUUAAAAAAAUCUUUCACUUUUCACAUGACACAUACUUAUUUAUAUAUAUAUAUAUAUAUAUAUAUAUAUAUAUAUAUAUAUAUAUAUAUAUAUAUAUAUAUAUAUAUAUUCCAAAAGAAACAAAGACAAGUACUUAAAAUUUAUAAUAUCUCAUACAACAUAUUCAAUCAACUGAAUUAUACUCAUUGAUAUAGUUACACAGAUACAUACAUGAGUGUUAAAUUUAGAAUUUAAUUAAUUAAAAUCUCUCUAAUAUAUCUCCAUUGUUAAAGAAAAAGUGUUUUGUAUAAGAGUAAUAUAUCCACAAACUUAUAAGUUCCUACCACAAGCAUAUAACGAAAUAAGAAUCAAACUGUCAUUAAUGGUGUAUUACUGAAUCACAAGGUUUAAAAACUUUAUUCAUGACUACACACAAAAGACGGGAGUUAUGUAGUCAUGUGUUUACACAUUAAGAGAGACAUACUCAUCCAAGGCAAUUAAACAGUAGAAUAAAAUAAAAUAAAAUAACAUGUUAAGAACAUCAUGCAAUUAAAAUAAAAAUUCAUGACCUCAAUGUCACGUCCUAUUAGAGCAUGGUGUCUUGACGUCCCCCUGCACAAGAUUUCUUAAGGCAAUCCACUUAGUCAUCUUCUCUCACGAACACAAAGUUCAAGAUCAUCACAUGAUACAAAUACAAACAACACAUAGAAAGUGAGUUAUCACAUUCUUAAACAUGUAGAGAUAAAUGAAAACACAUAUAUCAUAUAAUAUAAGUAUAAGAAGCUCAACUUAACACAACUCGCAUCAUUUUACCACUCAUUAUAUAAUGUCACUUGUCCCCAAGGAUUUAAUCACAAAUCACAUUCCACACUUUCACAUUAAUCACAUGUUUAGAACGACACAUCUCUGAUACAACACAAUAUCUUAAACUCACACAAUUCAUUACCCACCAUUACGUAACAACUUAUAAUGAUCAUUACAUAAGCGUUAUGUAACAGAUAUACUAAGACUUAAUCAUAUAUGUAAUGUGGUACCAUAUCAGUGAAAAAUAACAGUAAGGUGCCUAGAAGUACAUAACAAGAGACACCACACAAUGAGUUUGUCAAGUAACUCUCACUAAGUGAAAUCGUAAGGUGACCAAUCAAGGUUCCUCUGUUUUACGAGAAUGCUCUAAUCAUAUAGGAUUAAUAUAAGCUUAAAGAAGCACUCAAAUCGAGUGUAUUUACCCUCAAGAUUUAGACUCUGAAGAAUUCAUUAGGGUCUUACCUUUCUGAUUUAGGUUCAACCCCUAAAAUAAAUUUUGCAUGCAAAUACUACUCGUGAAUUAUGUAAUACCCACGGUCUCACACUUACUUUCAAAACACAUUUAACACAAUGCAUUACAAUUUAACUCCUCAGGUUCUUAAUUUGGAACCGUACACUCUUCCUUUAACACCUCACGCAUUGCACUAUAAUUUAACACCUCAAGUUCCUAAUUUAAAAUCCCUAUACUUCCCUUUUAACACCCUUCACAUUGCGCUACAAUUUAACACUAAAAUUUAUAAUGUAUACUUAAUGCAUAUAUAAAUUUAAGUUAUAAAUUUAGUGACAAUUAAAUUUGAUCUAAUAAUUAAUUUUUUUACAUAUAUGAAUUAUUGUAAAUAAAACUUAUGAUUUUUAUUUAAAAUUUAUAUAUAUAUAUAUAUAUAUAUAUAUAUAUAUAAAUACAUUAGUAUAUUUAUGUUAGUAAUGUAUUUUUUACAUAUAUAAAUUUUAUUAAACCUACGAUUUUUAUUUACAAUUUAUAUAUGUAAAUAAAUUAAUUAUUAGAUCAAAAUUAAUUAUCACAAAAUUUAUUAUGUAAAUUUACAUGUGCAUUAAAUAUAUAUUAAAAGUUUUAGUGUUAUAUAUAACGACAUUAAUUAUUUUAUAACAUAAUUGACUUAUUAACUCAGUUGGUUAGAGUGUCGUGCUAAUAACGUGAAAAUCAUAGGUUCAAUUUCUGCCUAGACAAUUAAUUUUAAAUUAAUUUGUAAAAUAUAUCUUUUAAAAAAUUAAUAAAAAAAUUGUAUGAACCACUUACGAAUUGGACAAUCCAUAAGCCUAUUACGGAUCUGUAAUUGAUUUAUGAAUUGUGAAUUCGUAAACCAAUUAUGGAUGUAUCAGAAAAACAAAUGGUGCGCGUAGCAAAUCUGAAACCAAUAAUGUUUUGUGUUGGACUUUUAUGAAAUUUCUUAUAUUUAGGGUUUUUUAAUUGUAAUCCAUAGCCCUAGUAUAUCAACACACUUUCGUAUGAACUAGGGUUAUCAGAAAUUAAAUGUAGAAGCAGUUUUCUUUAAGCUUUCCUUUAUCAUCCACUUGCAAUUUAUCUUUCUUAGUCUAGUUAGCAGAAGAGUCUAUCAAUCUAAAUGUGAAAUGCUAUUCAGUUAUCUAAGACUGGACCACUUUAGAAGAUAAGAACGAAACAUCGUAGUUCUAAAAAUGCAUUAUUAUGCCGUCAUAUGGAAAGGUGAUUCUCACAAAAUGUUUCUCAUGCUGGUGUUGGUCAGCAUAACACAUUUUAUCUUUAAGCUUUCCUUUAUCGUCCCCUUUCAAUUUAUCUUUCUUAGUCUAGUUAGCAGCAAAGUCUAUCAGUCUAAAUGUGAAAUGCUAUUCAGUUAUCUAAGACUGGACCACUUUAGAAGAUAAGAACGAAACAUCGUAGUUCUAAAAAUGCAUUAUUAUGGCGUCAUAUGUAAAGGUGAUUCUCACAAAAUGUUUCUCAUGCUGGUGUUGGUCAGCAUAACACAUUUUAUCUUUAAGCUUUCCUUUAUCGUCCCCUUGCAAUUUAUCUUUCUUAGUCUAGUUAGCAGCAGAGUCUAUCAAUCUAAAUGUGAAAUGCUAUUCAGUUAUCUAAGACUGGACCACUUUAGAAGAUAAGAACGAAACAUCGUAGUUCUAAAAAUGCAUUAUUAUGGCGUCAUAUGUAAAGGUGAUUCUCACAAAAUGUUUCUUAUGUGGGUGUUGGUCAGCAUAACACAUUUUUCUUCUAGAACACAUGAUAUCUAGGCAAUUCUAUCAUGAGCAUAAUGCUUUACGUAAAACAGCCAAUCAAAAAUUCAAGAUAAAAUUGAAAUAAUUUCAGUUCAAGCUUCCUUCUAAGUAGUUCAUGCAUUUUCCUUUUCUUUGCUGACUUGUCGUUAAUUUUUAAUUAAUUGAAGGAAAGGGAACAAUUGAUUUGAAUUAUUAUAUUUUCUGAAACAAAAAACAACACUAUAUUUAAUUUGUUUCCUUUAUUUUAAUAGGAAAAAAAAUAAAGCUUACAAAUGUUAUCAUUAAUUUGGUUAAGGUAUCUAAAUUUCAGAAACCCAGAAAACUAAAACAAAAUGACCUAAAAUAUAUAUAAAAAAAAAAGAUACAAUAGAAAAAUAGAAAGGAACAAUUAAAACUCAAGCAUGUUUAUUAAGUUCAAUCUUUCAGCUAUAUAUAAGUGAGAAUGUAGAGCUAAUCCAUUGAAGAUGAGCUUCCCAUUACCAGCUCAUUGGCAACCUGCUCCAUGGUAGGGCGAGAUCGUGGACUUUCAGUCAAGCAGGCCAUUGCUAUCUUUGCAAUUGAUGCCACUUCCUUACCAAUUGGCUUUGUUGGAUGAGGGAGACGUGGGUCCAACUUAUCCAUCAAUGCCAUGUGAUCGAGUGUUGAGGCCACAAGAGUAGAUGGAGAUGAUCCCAAUAAAGAAGAUAUAUCAUCACCAGGGUGCUUCCCAACAAGUAUUUCCCAUGCUAGGACCCCAAAACUAUACACGUCACAUUUCUCAUUCACCUCCAUUGUGUAUGCAAGUUCUGUAAACAAAAUAAAAGUGCUAUCAUACGCGAAAUAGGAUUCUAGUGACAAAGGCAAAAUGUGGACAAUUGUGACUAAGAAAGGCAAACUAAAAAAUAUGAUAUCCUCAGCAUAUCCAAAGGUAAUUAACCUGGAGCAGCAUAUCCAAAGGUAAUUAACCUGGAGCAGCAUAUCCAAAGGUUCCUACGAAUGAGGUCCAAUUGGAUGAAUCUGGAUUAAGAAAAUUGGCUGUUCCAAAGUCUGAGACAUGAGCUACAUAUUCGGAAUCCAAAAGAACAUUCUUGCUUGAUAUAUCACGAUGAACAAUUCGAGGUGAGCAUUCAUGGUGCAUAUAGCACAAAGCAUUUGCUACAUCUUUAACAACAUUCACCCUCUUAUACCAAUCAAAUGCCAUUGCUUGUCCAUCAUCCUUCAGAGUCUUCUCAACACUGCCAUUCUCCAGGAAUUCACACACCAAAAAUGAGAAUUGUGAAUGUGAACAAAACCCAUAUAACUUUACAAUGUUACGAUGUCGAAUUUAUGUCAAAGCUUGGAUCUCACAUGUGAAAGCUUUCAGAUUGAGCAUCGCUCCAUUUGGAACUGAAUGGAGUUUCUUUACAGCAACAACUUGACCUGCAGGGAGCACUGCUUUGUAAACACAUCCUUGUCCUCCAACACCAAUGAGAUGUUUGUUGUCUAAAUAUUCUGUGGCUUCAAUAAUAUUCUCGAAUACCAUUUUGCCAUCAAAAUUCCAUAUUGCAAAUAUGUUUGGAGUUUGUAUAUUUGUAGCCUGGUCUUCUUUUUUCGUUGAGGUUUGGCAUAAAUGAUACGAGACUCCGAAAGCAAAUAAUGCCAGUAUUAGAAUACCCAAAGUAAGGGGUAAAAUUACUAUUAUUAUUUUCUUCCUCAUAUGAUUAUGAGAUUUCCCACUUGAUGUUGAGCAAGGCUCCAAGCCAGUGACAUUGCCACACAAACCUUUAUUAUUUCUCAAUGCUUCAAUUUUAGCAUUGUGGAAGGCUAGAAUGUUUGGAAGUGGACCCUCAAACUGGUUGUAUGAUAUAUCAAUAGAUGUCAAGCUGGUCAUAUCAUCGAAGCUAGAGAGAUUACCUGAAAGAUUAUUGUGAGAGAGAUUCAGUGUUUCUAAGCUUUUUAAUUCUCCAAACAUUGAAGGUAUUGCUCCUCUCAAUGAAUUUUCACCAAGAUCAAGACUCGUAAGAAAUUUCAGUUUGCCAAGCUCUGAAGGAAUAUUUCCCUGAAAAUUAUUUUGGCUCAGACUCAUGUUCAAUAAAUUGAGCAAAUUUCCUAGUUGUUUUGGGAUUAAGCCAGACAACUUAUUUGAUCCAAGCUUCAAAAUUUGAAGUUUCUGCAUUGAUGCUAUUUCUUCAAAAUUUGAAGUUUCUGCAUUGAUGCUAUUUUGGCUCAGACUCAUGUUCAAUUCGAUGUAGUCCAAAUUUGGAAGUACACCAAAAGCAUCUGUUAUAUCCCCAGUUAGCUGGUUUCGCUGAAGCCUGACUCUUAUAAGGCUGGAGCAAUUCUUCAAACUCACCGGAAUUGGGCCUAUGAAGUUGUUAUUUUCAGCGGCAAAAUUUUUCAACGUUCCACCAAUGCAAAUGUUUUGAGGUAAAUGGCCUAUAAAAUUAUUGCCAGCUAGCUGCAAACUUUCCAGAGCAGUAAGCAUGCUCAGUUCUAUUGGAAUCUUGCCACCAAGUUCAUUUCCAAUAAAUCUUAAUGUCCUGACUUUUGAUAAAUUUCCAAUAGUGGAAGGAAUUGAUCCAGUGAGUUCAUUAAAGGAUAUAGAUAAUACACUAAGCUUUGACAAAUUUCCAAUGGUGAAAGGAAUGGACCCAGAGAGUUUAUUUUCAUGAAGGCGAAUGUCGUCCAAAUUGACCAAGUUGCCUAUGGAAGCUGGGAUUGGUCCAGUGAGUUCAUUAAAGGAUAUAGAUAAUACACUAAGCUUUGACAAAUUUCCAAUGGUGAAAGGAAUGGUACCAGAGAGAUCAUUGUCAGAAAGAUUAAGAAACAAGAGUUUGGAGAGAUUACCAAUGGUAUUGGGAAUGCUACCAAAGAGGUUAUUAAUGGACAAGUCAAGAGUGUUGAGAUUGGAUAAGGAACCAAUUUGAGGAGGAAUAGUUCCAUUCAAGGAGUUGUGACUCAUAUUUAGAGUGAAAAUGUUUGGAAGUAAUGAGAAGUUGAGACUUUGAAGCGUACCUCUUAAUCCAACAUUUGUAAGAUUUAUGUUGGAAACAGAACAGAACUCAUCACAUGCAAUUCCGAACCAAUUGCAAGGAUUAUUGCCACUCCAUGAAGAGAGAGAAGCAUGACUUUGGUUUUCAAGGCUGGAUUUCCACUUCAACAAAGCAUUUGCUUCUGAAGCAAUCUCAGAAGAAGCAGCAAAUGCACAGAAGUACAUCACAAGAAGCAGCAAAAGUGGUUGGAGCUUCAUGGACAGAAGCGUUGGAAAUAUGAACACCAUGAGGAAAUUUUGAGGAAGGAUUCAAUCACAGAUUGUCUGAUACAAUCAAAUGCAGGAGAAGUACUUACAAGCAAUUCAUGGGAUAUGCACACUUAAAUGCAAAACAUCGUGAACCACGAACCAGAGUCAAGAGAUAUUAUAUAACUAAUUUAUGGGAUAUUAUCCUUGAGAAACUUUAAAUAAAAUAUUUAUAACUAAUUUUUAUUUCUAAUGAACAUAAUAGGACCUUUUUCAGGGCAACAUAAUAGAACUUUAAAUUAAAUAUAAUUAUUAUUUUCUGGCAUUGUGAUUAUGGGAUCUUAAUAAUAAGCUUUAUAUAUUAUAUGUCUUAAAAAUUGCUGCUAAAAAUAUAUAUAAGUUUUAUAAAAAAAUUAAUGUAAUAAAGUUAUGUAUUAUUAAAUAUAUAUAUAUAAUUUAGAAAAAAAUAUUAAUUUUUUGCAGUCCCUUAUACAUUUUAAUUAUAUUAAAUCAUUUAAAUGUUAUAAUAUUGAAAACUAAUUAGGAUGAAGACUGAAGAGAAGCGACAAAUUCAUAAUAAUUCAUAAUAUGGAAGCAAUUAAAUUGAGAAAGACAAUAUCAAACAAGACAGCCGAUCAGUGGGGUCAAUAUAUGUCUAGCUUGGUAUGUUGCACGCGUUUACUUUACAACACUGUUUCUGUUUGCAAUCAGAAAUUUCCAUAGUGUUAUGCAUGGGUAAAUUUCAAACUUCCACAUAACCAUUCCUGUAAAACUGUAUUUUUUUUUACAACUGUUUUAAUUAGAAUAUAAAAGAAAUUUAAUUUAAUUUAUGCUAUAAAUCAUUGAAUUUUAAAAAUAUAAUAAGUUUAAUUAUGUGUUUUAGAUGAGCUUAGUUGUUUCUUUUGUAGAUGAGUGUAAUUAAGAGUUGCAUUUUUGAUACGAGGGGAGGGGAGUUACUAUAUAUCCCAUGUAAAUUGUUAUUGGUUCCUAGCUAUCAAGAGGUUGAGAGUUUUUUAUUUAUUUUAGAAUUACUCUCGUUGAAUAAAAUAUACAUUAUGAUUGCAUUAUGCAUUGUUUUUACACCAUUUUGUUGCAACGGAUAUGUUGCACAAUAAUUUUUAUAUGUCUAUUAUGAUUGUGAAGUCCUUGUGAUCUAUCAUCUUUUUAAAUUUUACUAAUAAAAAAAAUACGACUUCACACUAUCAUUAUCUCAACACCAAUCAAGAAAUUGAUAAAAUAUUAUAAAAAUAUAUUAAUAAUAUUUAUUUAUAUUUGAUGAUAUUUCUUAAAUGUGACCAAAAAAAUUUAGUAAUAUUUUACUAAAUGUUAAAUAAAAAAUAUUACUAACUUUCAUUGUGUAGUAGUGAAUUAUAUUUUAGAUUAUUAUAAUUAACAGUAUAACUUAUACAAUUAAUUAUUAUAAAUAUAUAUUAUAUAUUUAAAAUAUAUUUUAAUUAUUAUUUUAGAAAAUUAGUAUUCUAAAAGAAUAAUUACAAGUGAUAUACGUAUAUAUAAGUAAAAUCAAAUUAAAUACAAAUAUUAAGGUAGUAUUUAGUUAGUGUUAUUAAUCAUAUUUAUAUAAAUAUUUAAAUAAUCUAGUAUUUUUCUAAUAUAAUAUUCAUUAUUAUAUUUGUUAAAAAUCAUACAUGAUAAAUUUUAAUAAUAUUAUUAAAUAUAAUAUGUUGAUUGAAUUUAAUAAAUGUAAUGAUAAUAUAUGGAUAUUAGACAUUCAAAUUAUUAAAUAAAUUUAUUUAUAUAAAAAUUAUUAUUAAAUAAAAUGAAAUCACUAAAAUAUAUAUUUUAAAAUCUUAUAAAGAAUAUUUUUUUAGUACGUUGCGUUAAUCCUAAAUGUUUAUAUCUAGGAGAAGGAUUUAUUUAAUAAAAAAACUUAUAUUUGAUUUGUUUCAUGUGUAAAUUUUUUUAUUUCAAUGACAAACACCAAUACUAAAUAAAAUUUGUCUCGGACGGAGUAAGUAGAGGAAAUCCGUGUUCUUUGAACGGAUAAAAAUAGUAUAUUAAAUUAUAUAUUUUAUCAUAAGGGAUGAGCUGCGAAAGUACAAUACUUCCUAUCUAUUAAAACAGAAAAGUAUCUACCUCAAAAAUAUCUUUUAAGAAUAUAUAAGAAAGCUUACAACAAAAUAUGUUGAAUCAAAAGAUCUUUUAUUAUUUUAUCGACAGAAAAAAUAUCUUUUUUAUUCUUCAGCUUGUAAAAUUUUCUUUGAAAAUAUGUUCCCUAAAUAAUGAUUGGACAAUUAUGUUCUCAAAAAUUUCAAAAUAACAAAGAAUGUCUUUCUCAUUUUUUAAAUCCUCAAAAAUUUUCUCUCUUAUUCCUCGGAACGUGCCUUGCCUUCCUCAAAAUUUCUGUGUAUAGUGUAAUAUUUACAUAAGAAGAAAGAAUGAAGUAUAAUACCUGCCUUUGUAAAGGGAAAGAUACAAAAAAAAAAAAAAAGAUAAAACAAAGGAAGACUACGAACGCAGAUAUAAGAAAACCCAUGGAUGUGCACUGCAUCCAGGACCAGCCCCUAAUAAGUAAUAACCCUUAGGGAGGGUUAUAUGAUCACGAUUUGAUUUGAUAUGCUUCUAGAUUAACUACUCAAAUGAAAAAUAUUGAAUUUCCUUCCUAUUUUUUAAAAAUAUAUAUCAAUGUAUUUACUACCACCUCCUCUAAGAUGCAAAUAUUUCACUGCACUCCCUUCUUGUGUCAAAAUACAUACUUCAUCCCUUAACUAAUGUGCGCUUAUAUAUAUAUAUAUAUAUAUAUAUAUAUAUUUCGUUUUUAAAAUGUUUAAUUAAUUUUUUUAAAACAAUUAUAAAAUUUUAAUGUCUGAAUACACACACUUAGUAAAUCAACGCUCUAAAUCCGUAGAAGGUCAUGCUCACCCAAUACUAUCCAUGCUGACCCAGCAUGGCCCGUGUUGGCCUUUAUGUUGUAGCUUAUUUUAAACAUUAUAAAUAGAAAUGUAAAAGGUAUUUUUAGGUUAUGCUUUAUUUUUAUUUACAAAUAGAAACAUCUUUUGAGAAGAGAAUUACACCAGAAAUAAUUGGGCGAUCCGAAUCUGUUAGUAUUUUUAAUCUCUUUUAUUUUUUAUGUAAUAUUAUAUGUUGUUUAACUAUUAUGUGGUCAUAAUUGGCCAAACUCCUUAGAACUUGGAUUCUGAUGUGGCUAUACUCAUUUAUUUUAAUUUCUCUUUUUAAUAAAGUUCUUCGAAAUUAUUUAAUUAAUUGUAUCUUUCUAUUGCUUUCACUUCUAUAUUGAAAUCAUUCUGAUUAUUAGUUCAUUAUGUGUUUAUGGUCAUCUUCUCAUAAUUAACUGACCUAUAGAAUGAAAUGGUUCAUAAAGCUUGAAUGAUCAAACUGGUGGCAUGGAUCCCUUUUUUUUUUUUACAAACUUCUAUAUUAUUUGUCUUUAACCAUAAAUUAAAUUUGAAAUGACUAAUGCAUGAUUAAUUUUGGGGAGAGAGUAUUCUCAUACCUUAACCAUAAGUUGACAAUUAAAAUAAGAGAUAUUAGACGAUUAAUCGAUAACUUAGAGUUCUUAAUUAAAAUAGGAAUUAAGAAAAAACGAUACAUGCGAAAUCAUAAUAUGAGUCACUCCUUUUCAUACAUAUCUUUUCUUCAAAUUGUUGUUUGUUUUUAAUUUUAUUUUCUUGAAUGCAAAUGCAAAUCAUCCCCAACUUAAGAUAAAAACUCAAAAUUAUUUAUUUUAUCCGAUUUAGAUUAUUUGGAAACACAACUACAUUAUGCAAUAUGAAAUCCAAACUUUCAGUUUAUGGUACACUUAGCAUUAGUAAAUCCAUAUUUUACACAUUAGUAAUUAAGUAUGUUUUCAUUAUUCCUUUUCAAUUUUAAUUAUUGUUAUUAAGAUCAGAAUGUACCAUUUGAAUCUAUUUUUCUAAGGAAACUACUAUUGGCCCUUACACAUUGCUUUUGGACCCUACUCCCCCCUUCAAAAUACUCAUAUGCCCAUAUUGGGCAUUAACUACUUUUUUUUUUAAUUAUUAUCCAAUUUGAUCCCUCUUUUUUGUGAUAUUCAUUCAUUAUGAUCUUUUCGUUUGACAUCAUUUGUGUCAAUUUAGACAAAGGAGUAAUAUGAGCAUUUUUGUUUUAGAAAUCAAAUUCAACAUUUUAAAAAUAGACAGAUCAUUAUGAAUAAUAAAUAAAAAAAAGACCAAAAGAAUAAUUUAAACUAAAAAUAAGGAUAAAAAGAAAAAAAGAAUUGAAAUGAAUGAAAUGGAUCAUGCGUAAAAUUAAACAUAUGAAUAUUUACUUAAAUCACAUUAGUCAACAUUUAAAAUAUCAUAUAUGUUUCUCAUUUUAAAUAAAUUAUUUCUCUUAAAAUUUAUUUUAGAUCUCAUUUGUUAUUGGACCGACUCAUAUCUCUACAUUUUCUACCACGGCAAAGCUAGCUCCAGCCAUUGCCAAAUGAUUUGAAGUCUCACCUCUUAAAUGAAUAGAAACUUUUCGCCAGAAUUAAACUCCACAUACUUUCUGGAAGUCUUUUGUACAGAGUCAAUUUCCAAAACGGUGAUGUCUAGUUAAAGGCUAAUAGUAGUACUAUGUAUGCUGUGGAUCCUGUCAUGUAUGUCACAUUCAUUGACUUUGCAUAAAAGAGAGAGAGAGAGCAAGUUAAUUAACAUUAUUUUACUGUCUUUCAUUAUAUAUUACAUCUGGAGAAUUUGCUGGUGGAUGCUGAUGGAGAGCUUAAAGUAUCAGAUUCUGCAUUGAGUGUUCUGCCUCAACAAUAAUUUGGGUUUUCCAAAUUAUUCUCGCAAGAGGUCUGGACCUAUUUUUUUUAUGAUCUCUCGAUAAAAAGAUUCAUUCUCUUCGUAAAAAAGAGGAUGUAGAAUCAAUAAAGAGUAAUUUUUCAAUUCAUCCCUCGAGUUGAAUAACUCAUUCAAGAAAUAUUUUUGAACCAAUCCGAAGGAAUCAAUAGAAAAAGCAAAUUCCUUAUAAUACACCAGAUCCGGCUGGACUAUUGAUAGAGUGAAUAGAUCUGUCAUUUCUUGAAAUAUCUCUUCUGAUUCAAAAUCGUAAUGGAUCGUGUAUCUCCCACUGUUUCGGUUAUGAAAUAGAUGAAAUAAAUCCCAAUAUGAAUUUUUGUUCAAGAAUAAAAUCUUAUUGGAACUGUCCAGUUCACUCUUUGAAACUAGCAUGCUGGCUAAUUUUUUCAAAAAAUUAAAAGGACAUUUAUGUCCAAUUUGGCAAGUUAGAGGCUGCUUCUCACAAGAUAUGUUUCGCAACAUUAUAUGGCCUCACAGGUAUUUUAGCAUUUGCUGCUGCUAUAAUCAUAUCUUUUAUCUCUCACACUCCAAUAAGAUUACUGCUUUCAUUUAUCAUAUAUAUAGGUGAUACUACGAGGGUGCAAGGACUGAUCUAUUCUAUGGUCCUGUAGUAUUUUUCUUUUUGUUCUAAUGGCUGGUUAUUUGGAUUUCAAUGACAAUAACAUAAAGAAAAGUGGGGUAUUUUAUGAGUAUUCUAGCUCUCUUAAUAUAUGGAGUGGUCUUUUUUCCUAGCAUGAUUGACUGGAUUCAUCUCACAUUAGUUGAUGCAUUCUUAGUCUAUUAUUAUCGACGGGAAAGUCAUGUGGUUGCUUAAGAGUAACACAAAAAUUGAAAUAGAUAAAAUCAUAUGAACUUUAAACAGUAAUGAAUUAAUAAUAUAUGAGCAAAGGUCUAAAAUUCAGUUAUUUAAGACUAGAGCACUUUAGUAAAUAAGACCCAACAUCGUAGUUCUAAAAAUGCAUUAUUAUGGCGUCAUAUGUAAAGGUGAUUCUCACAAAAUGUUUCUUAUGCUGGUGUUGGUUGUAGCAUCCUAUUUCUCAUAAACUAAUUUAAAAAAUAUUGUUAUUUGUAACAUAAAUAGAGUUUUAUCAAAAAUGAUAAGUUUUCAUACAUUAACUACCUAAGACGAAAUAACUUUAUUAAUUAAAAUAAUGGUUUAGAGACAACUACAACAGGGUAUUAUAUUUAUUCAUUUGAUAGUGAAUAAAAUAGAGUUCAUUUUUAUAAAAUAAUAUAAAUAAAUACCUAAAUAAAGUACAUAAUACGUUGUGAGUACCCUAGCUAUAAAUAGAGAAAUGAUAGGUCAGUUUUCAGACUGACGAUAGCUUUUCAACCUCCUCUUUNNNNNNNNNNNNNNNNNNNNNNNNNNNNNNNNNNNNNNNNNNNNNNNNNNNNNNNNNNNNNNNNNNNNNNNNNNNNNNNNNNNNNNNNNNNNNNNNNNNNNNNNNNNNNNNNNNNNNNNNNNNNNNNNNNNNNNNNNNNNNNNNNNNNNNNNNNNNNNNNNNNNNNNNNNNNNNNNNNNCCCUUUCUUCUCACAAAAUCUCUCUUUCCCGCAUACCACCAAACCUAUCUCAGAAAAACGACGAUAUCAGACUCAUUCACCGUUGGAUAGUCGUGAAAUUUAAGAACCAGGUUUGCAACUCAAUUCUAAGCAUUCUCACCAUUGGGAAUUAUGAAAACAUAUCAGAGCUGAGAGUAAUACCCUUGGCAUUGUAACUUUUCUUUUCCCCCAGAAAUCCAGAGCUAUCUCGGUAAAACUACGAUCCCGAACUUUUUAACCGUUGGGUUGUUGUCAGAUUUUUAUAUGUGGUUUGCGAUUCAUUUCUACACGUUUUCACCAUUGAGAUUUUCAAAAUAAUGUCUGUUGAGGGAGAAAGAUGCAUCGCAUGUAGGACCAUAGAAUGGAGGCUUCAUUCCCUUCUCCUUCUGUCUAACGUUUGGAAACCAGAGGAGGAGCUCUAGAGAGCACCAGAAAUGCCACAAUUGAUAACGGAGAACGCUUGAGCGAUUACAUCGAGGUAAGAAAUGAGUUAUUCACAAAUGGGGAUUAGUGAGAACAUGUGUAGGGAUCCUUAGAGUAUCAAUUAGAAUGAGUUUUGAGGUGUUUCUACAAUUUUUAUUUUAUCCUUAUAGUUAUAACUGUGAAUUAUAUAUGUUUGAUGAAUCAGUUGAUGUCCCAAUGAAAAACUACUGUGAAAUUGAUGUGUUCUUGUGUUGAGUGUGAAUCCUAUAAAUUGAACCUUUUUCUAAUUAGCGUUGUUAGCUCUUUGGCAAGUGUACCAAAUCGCUCGUAGUAUUAAUCUCUUGGUAAACCGAGUGUCGUACCCCAGGGAUUUUGUUGCACUUAUGUGAAGUACUUUUCAGUUUGCAAAUUGUAAAUUUAGUGUAUGCAAUUUAAAUCUAGCAAGAGAUAAGAAAUUUAAAAUAAAAGAUAAAGAAAAAUAAUAGAUAAGAUAAAGAAAAGAUAAAAGAUUUAUAGAUAAGGAUAAAGAAAAAUAAUUAAAAUCUAAGUAACUACUUCUAAAAGAAAACUAACGCAAUAAAUAAAGAAUAAGUCUAUAAAAUAUUACUAACUCUAAUAAGCCUAAAUACCUACUCCUAAAUAAAAUAGGGGAUAACUACUUCUAAUAAAACCAAACAGUAAAAUAAGGAAUAACUAUUUCUAAGAAAACCAAACAAUAAAAUACGAAACAAUAAAAUAAGACUUAAAAUCUAUAUAAUAAAAUUGCUAAAACCUAACAAGUCUAAUCAGCCUAGAUAUAUGGAUUCAGGAUUUGUUUGUUAUCAAUACCAGUGAACUGAUUCUGCCCCACAUCUAUCCAUCUACUUGCCUCUGAUGCCUCAUGAUGACAAGCCUACCUUAAUUACCUAUCUUCCAAAUGCCCUUUGCGAAGACUCAAUAACUAAGAUGCAUUAAGAUUAAAUUCUAGAUGUUUGCUAAAGCAUGGGCAUCGGGUCAAUGCUAACCCUAUGAUUUCUUUCUUUUAUUGUUCUAUUAAGCGUUACCCUCUCCCGAGUGGACUAACCCUUAAAACAGAUUCACGCAUUCAUUCCUUACCCCUAAUUAGGCUUUACCCUCUCCCGAGUAGACUAAAGACUAACAGAAAAUAAAGACUGAGAUGCAUAAUAAAUAAGAAAGAAAAGCAUAUAAAAGAACCUGGAAGGAAAACCCUCUAAUGAUAACCCGAUGAUUUCUUCCUUUUAUUGUUCUAUUAAGCGUUACACUCUCCCGAGUGGCCUAACCCUUAAAACAGAUUUACGCAUUCAUUCCUUACCCCUAAUUAGGCUUUACCCUCUCCCGAGUGGACUAAACCCUAACAGAAAAUAAGGUCCGAGAUACAGAAUAAAUAAGAAAGAACGGUAAAUAAUAAGAACCUGGAAGGAAAUUCUCUUUUUAUUGAUAACUCUUGAAAUGAUCCAUACAUCAUUGACUUUUUAGGCCUGCCAGGCCCUAACUAGGGGGUUUAGCCACUCAUAGUCAUGAGGGUUUUACAAUGAGAAGGGGGUGAAAGAAAGUAAUAAGAAUAUAAGAAAAAGGAAGGAAAAGGAGAGAACUGAGUGCCAGAAGUCUGAAAAUUGAGCUCUGAGGAAGUGUGUUCAUUUUCCUAGGCUGACCCUCUUAUUUAUAGGUGCAAACUUGGGCUUGGGUCUUCGCAGUCUCGCUGAGCGCGAAGCCUCGUGCUCAGCGCCACGUCGCGCUCAGCGCAUGUCGUGCACUUAACGCCUUGCCUUCUUGCGCGUUGGGCGCGUCCUGCGCUUAGCGCCUUGCUAGACUUGGGCUUCUUCUGAUUUUCUUUUUUUUUUAUUUCUGCUCCUUUUUGCUUGUUGUACCUCCCUUUUUCACAUCUGCAAUCAAAAUUCGAAAUUAAUUAAAUCUUUCCAAAUUAAAGCAUAAAUAACUGCUAAAUAAUUAAUUCUAAGUUAAUUUUAGACCGAUUUUCCACUAUUAAUUCACUAUUAUUUAGCAGCUAUCAAGCGUGAAUUGAUAAAAUUAAGUAAGUAGAAGUUUAGCGUAAGAGGGAGUGAGAUAUUGAUUUUGUCUUUUCUCCUUUACAUGCUUUUUAGUUUUUUUAUAGUUUAAAAUUAAUAUUAUAUUUGAAAUUGACCAAAGAUUUCUAGUAGACUGUGUGUUGUAUUCUUAGAUAAUAUAUAUAAAUUCAUGUAUACUUAUAUAUACGGGAAAGUGUUCAUAUAAUUAUUUAGAAUUGGUACAUUGAAAGCUUAAUUACUUUGAAAUUCAUGACCCAAUAUGAUGUAUGUUGCUGGUUUUAUAUAUAUAAAUUUAGCUAUAUAUUUAUUUAUAUUAAUAUUUAAUGUAUAUAAUAUUGUAGUGUUGUUAUAGUGUGAUUCCAAAAAUUAUUCAAGUGUUGGAGUUUGAGAAUAUUAUGGUUAGAUUUGAGGUACAUGUGUAUUGAGAUGUGUGUAUUGAGUUGUGAGUUGUGAAUUAUACAAUAACCCAACCAGUGUUGAUAUUGAGAAAAGUGUUGAUGCGCAGUGUUAAAGAGAAAGUGUAAGUUUCCUAUUUAGGAAUCAGUGUUAAAUUGUAGCGCAAUAUGUUAAACGUGUUUGAAACAUGAGUGUGAGGUCGUGUAUAUUGUAUAAUUCAUGAGCAGUAUUUAUAAAUGGAAUGUGUGAUGAAUUGUGGAAUAACAUGUUGCUUUGAGAUUAUAAUAUUGUUAUUGAGAUUGAGUAUAAGUACAAAGUUUAACAUGUGUUAAUUUGUGAGAUACGUGUAAAUAUGUGAUGGUAGAUUGUGACACUAUGAUAUGUGAAAUUGUGAAUGAGUUUUGGCUGUAAAUAAGUGUGUGGUUAACACUUGAUGUGACAUUACUUGUGUUGUAAGUUGUGAAUUGUAUAAUAAUCCGACUAGUAUUAUCUUGAGAAAAGUGUUGAUGAACAAUGUUAAAGAGAAAGUAUAGGUUUCUUAUUUAGGAAUCAGUGUUAAAGAGAAAGUGUAGAUUUUCUAUUUAGGAAUCAGUGUUAAAUUAUAGCGCAAUUGUGUUAAAUGUGUUUAAAACACGAGUGUGAGAUCGUGGGUAUUGUAUAAUUCAUGAGCAGUGUCUGCAUGCAAAAAAUGAUUUUAGGGGUUAGACCUGAAUCAGGAGGGAGAGGCCCUGACGGACUCUUCCAAGUGUAGGUCUUGGGGGUCACCCGGUUUGAGUGCUCCUUUAAGCCUGUGCCGAUCCCGCAUGAUUGGAGCAUUCUCGCAAAAUAGCGUGACCCUGACUGAUCUCCCUAUGAUUUUACUUAGUGAGAGUGACCUGACAUACCCAUUGUGUGGUAUGUCUUGUUAUGUACUCCUAAGCGCCCUAGGGUGGUUUUUCACUGACAUGGUACCACAUUGUAUAUAGGCUUGAGUCUUAGCAUAACUGUUGCAUACGCUUGCUAAUUAUUUAUUAUGAAAUUGAUGUGUUAUCAUGUCUUGAUCGGAGUGUGUGAUUCUUGUGUAAUGUGAUUGAUGAUUGAAAAGUGAUUUUGAAUGACAAAGUGAUUGAAUUACGUGAGUUAUGUUUAAGUAAAUUUUAUUUUAUUUAUAUGAUAUGUAUAUCUAGUUGUCUUGCUUCUCUAUUAGUUAAAAAUGUGAUAACUCACUCUCCGUGUGUUGUUUGAGUUUGGAUCCUGUGAUGAUCUUAAACUUUGUGUUCGAGGGAACAGAUGACUAGAUGAAUUGAUUUAAGGAACCUUGUGCUGAAGAACGUCAGGACACAAUGCUCUGAUAGGAUGUGACAUUGGGGCAUCAUAGUCUAUUUUAUUUUACCUCACUGAUUUAACAAAAUAUUUUUUUUUAUAAAUUUUGAUGGCCUUGUUUUGAGCCAAAUAUAUUUUUAACAAGUUUUAUUUGGUAAUAGUGAAGUGAAUGUGAACUUUUUAUCCACGUGAAUUUGUUUACCAAUAUUUUUAUAUAUUUUAUUUAUUUAUAUAUAUUUCGAGGUAGAGGGUGUCACAUUGGUCAGCAUAACACAUUUUUCUUCUAGAACACAUGAUAUCUAGGCAAUUCUAAAAGUAUGAAACAAUUUUAAAUAGACUUUUGAAGAACCUUAUAGUUAAAUACACUUUGACCAAUUUUGAAGAAUAAAAGUAUGAAACAAUAUAUAAACUUGAGAAUGUCAUUUUGUUAGCCUAUUUUAAUUCCAAAUUAUAAUAUCUAUUCCAAACUAUAUAUAAAAAAACCCUAAAAAGCAAGAAAAGGGAAAAAAUACAAAAUCAGUAUCUCAGUUCCUCUUACAGUAAAUAUUUCCUUAUUUAAUUUCAUCAAUUCACACUAAUUAGAAAAAUACUCAUUUUUUAGGGUUCAUGCUCAACACAAGAACACAACAAUUUCAUAGCAAUUUCACAUCGGAACACCAAUUAGUCUGUCAAACAUAUAUAAUUCACAGUUAUAGUUGUAAACAUAGAAUCAAAAUUUCAUAAACACCCCAAAAUUCAUCUCAAUUGAUCUUCUAAGGAUUCCUACACAUGUUCUCACUACUUUCAAUGGUUAACAAGUCAGGGAUCAUAGUUUUACUAGAAAAGGGAACGAUUUAGAAGGAAGAGAAAGUGUAGAAACAUCUUAAUAUAACUACUGACCUAAUAUGUUUCUAUUUAUAGCUAAGAUGCUCUGAUCAUAUUAUUUACUCUAUUUUUAUUAAUUUUAUUGUUUUAUAAAAAAGAACUAUAUUUUCUUAUUAUGAAAUGAAUAAAUAUAAUUUUUUUUAUUUUCUAAAAACACAUUUAUUUUAUUUAACUUAAAACCAUUAUUUUAAUUAACAAAAUUAUUUCUCCUUAUUUAUUAAAUUAAAAACUUCAUUAUUUUUCUAAAAAUUUAUUUAUUUUUAAAUAAAAGAAUUUUUAAUUUAUUUAAAAAAUGGAAUGUUAAUGUGACUUUUGAGUAGUUAGUACAAGACUCUACCCAACUAAGCUAAUAGACCAAUUAUGUUAUAAAAUAAUUAAUGUUGCUAUAUAUAAUACUAACAUUUCUAAUAUAUAUUUAAUACACAUAUAAAUUUAAAUAAUAAAUUUAGUGACAAUUAAUUUUGAUCUAAUAAUUAAUUUUUUACAUAUAUGAAUUGUAAAUGAAACCUAUGAUUUUUAUAAUAUAUAUAUAUAUAUAUAUAUAUAUAUAUAUAUAUAUAUAUAUAUAUAUAUAUAUAUUAUUAGAUCAAAAUACAUUAGUAGAUUUAUGUUAAUAAUGUAUCUUUUACAUAUAUAAUUUUUUUUAUUAAACCUACGGUUUUUAUUUACAAUUUCUAUAUGUAAACAAAUUAAUUAUUAGAUCAAAAUUAAUUGUUACAAAAUUUAUUAUGUAAAUUUAUAUAUGCAUUAAGUAUACAUGAAAAUUUUUAGUGUUAUCUAUAGCGACAUUAAUUAUUUUAACAUAAUUGACUUAUUAGCUCUGUUGGUUAGAGCGUCGUACUAACAAUGUCUAUAAACCAAUUACGGAAAGGCAAUAUGGGAAUUCCAAUGUUGUGUUGGGUAUACUAGAAAAACAAAUGGUGCACGUAUCAAUUCCCAAACCAAUAAUGUUUUGUGUUGGACUUUUAUGGACUUUCGUAUAUUUUGGGUUUUUAAUUGUAAUCCGAGUGAAUAGGCAAUUUAGUCCCUGAGAUUGUACCCAUUUUGCAUAUUACUCCCUAACUUAAUGUUAAAUUCAAAAUAGUCCUUAUCUUUGCAUAAGUGUUGCAAAAUAGUCCUUCCGUUAAAUUUUAAAGUAACGUCGUUAGUGAGGUCAAUUUUAGUGUCACGUGUACUAUCCAACGUGGCACUAAAAGAUGACGUGGCAUGACACAUGGACGUGCCUCCUAAAAGAUACCACGUCAUUUGAUGAUAACAAAACGAGUAAAUAGGCAAUUUAGUUCCUGACUUUGUACCCCUGUUGCAUAUUAGUCCCUAACUUAAUGAAAAAUUCAAAAUAGUCCCUAUCUUUUGCAUAAGUAUUGCAAAAUAGUCCAUAACUUAAAAGAUGCCAAAAAUCGUGCUUAAAGUGUCCAUGCAUUGCGAAGGUUGUGCCUUGCACGAUUUCUGGCGACGGAGAUUCCUCCUUGAAUUCCUUGUCACCUUUUGAUUCCUUUGGUUUUUUCUCCUCUUCUUUCUUUUCUUCUUCCUCUGCUUUUUUCUCCUCCACUUUGUUUUUCUCUAGUUUUUUCUCUUCCUAUUCAGAACACAAAAAAAAAAAAAUCAAAACUCGGAAUGAUACAUUGAUGGUAAUUGAAGAAAAAAAAAGAGAAAAAGAGAAUGGUUAUGCAGACCUCGUCCAUUGGUGUUGACGGCUACAAAGAUAAGGUUGUUGCUGUGUAUUUUUGGUUCUUUUUAUUUGUGCAAGUGUGUGUGGGUUCUUUCUCGUAUAUAUGCCUCAAUUGGUUCAGAACCAUCAAAUUUGAAGAAGUCACACAUUCUAUCAUCAUCAAAUGACGUGGCACUAAAAUUGACCUCACUAACAGUGUUACUUUAAAAUUUAACGGAAGAACUAUUUUGCAAUACUUAUGCAAAAGAUAGGGACUAAUUUGAAUUUUUCAUUAAGUUAGGGACUAAUAUGCAACAGGGGUACAAAGUCAGAGACUAAAUUGUCUAUUUACUCAUUUUGUUAUAAUUAAAUGACGUGACAUCUUUUAAGAGGCACGUCCACGUGUCAUGCCACGUCAUCCUUUAGUGUCACGUUGGAUAGUCCACGUGGCACUAAAAUUGAUCUCAUUAACGGCGUUACUUUAAAAUUUAACGGAAUGACUAUUUUACAACACUUAUGAAAAGAUAGGGACUAUUUUGAAUUUUACAUUAAGUUAGGGACUAAUAUGCAAAAUGGGUACAAUCUCAGGGACUAAAUUGUCUAUUCACUCAUUGUAAUCCAUAGCCCAAGUAUAUCAACACACUUUCGUAGGAACUAGGGUUAUCAGAAAUUAAAUGUAGAAGCAGUUUUCUUUAAGCUUUCCUUUAUCGUCCCCUUGCAAUUUAUCUUUCUUAGUCUAGUUAGCAGCAGAGUCUAUCAAUCUAAAUGUGGAAUGUUAUUCAGUUAUCUAAGACUAGACCACUCUAGAGGAUAAGACCCCAACAUCGUAGUUCUAAAAAUACAUUAUUAUGGGUUAUAUGUAAAGGUGAUUCUCACAAAAUGUUUCUCAUGCUGGUGUUGGGAGCAUCACACAUUUUUCUUCUAGAACACAUGAUAUCUAGGCAAUUCUAUCAUGAGCAUAAUGCUUUACGUAAAACAUCCAAUCAAAAACUCAAGAUAAAAUUGAAAUAAUUUCAGUUCAAGCUUCCUUAUAAGUAGUUCAUGCAUCUUCCUUUACUUUGCUGACUUGUCGUUAAUUUUAAAUUAAUUGAAGCAAAGGGAACAAUUGAUUUGAAUUAUUAUAUUUUCUGAAACAAAAAAAAACACUAUAUUUGUUUCCUUUAUUUUGAUAGGAAAAAAAUAAGGCGAACAAAUGUUAUCAUUAAUUUGGUUAAGGUAUCCAAAGUUCAGAAACCCAAAAAUCUAAAAUAAAAUGACCUACAAUAUUAAAAAAAAGAUACAAUACAAAAAUAGAAAAGAAAAUUUAAAACUCAAGCUUGUUUAUUAAGUUCAAUCUUUCAGCUAUAUAUAAGUGAGAAUGUAGAGCUAAUCCAUUGAAGAUGAGCUUGACAUUACCAGCUCAUUGGCAACCUGUUCCAUGGUAGGGCGAGAUCGUGGACUUUCAGUCAAGCAGGUCAUUGCUAUCUUUGCAAUUGAUGCCACCUCCUUACCAAUUGGCUCUGUUGGAUGAGGGAGACGUGGGUCCAACUUAUCCAUCAAUGCCAUGUGAUCGAGUGUUGAGGCCACAAGAGUAGAUGGAGAUGAUCCCAAUAAAGAAGAUAUAACAUCACCAGGGUGCUUCCCAAUAAGUAUUUCCCAUGCUAGGACCCCAAAACUAUACACGUCACAUUUCUCAUUCACCUCCAUUGUGUAUGCAAGUUCUGUAACAAAAUAAAAGUGCUAUCAUACGCAAAAUAGGAUUCUAGUGACAAAGGCAAAAUGUGGACAAUUGUGACUAAGAAAGGCAAACUAAAAAAUAUGAUAUUCUCAAUUUAGUAUAAAGAAAGGUAAUUAACCUGGAGCAGCAUAUCCAAAGGUUCCUACGAAUGAGGUCCAAUUGGAUGAAUCUGGAUUAAGAAACUUGGCUGUUCCAAAGUCUGAGACAUGAGCUACAUAUUCGGAAUCCAAAAGAACAUUCUUGCUUGAUAUAUCACGAUGAACAAUUCGAGGUGAGCAUUCAUGGUGCAUAUAGCACAAAGCAUUUGCUACAUCUUUAACAACAUUCACCCUCUUAUACCAAUCAAAUGCCAUUGCUUGUCCAUCAUCCUUCAGAGUCUUCUCAACACUGCCAUUCUCCAGGAAUUCACACACCAAAAAUGAGAAUUGUGAAUGUGAACAAAACCCAUAUAACUUUACAAUGUUACGAUGUCGAAUUUCUGUCAAAGCUUGGAUCUCACAUGUGAAAGCUUUCAGAUUGAGCAUCUCUCCAUUUGGAACUGAAUGGAGUUUCUUCACAGCAACAACUUGACCUGUAGGCAGCACUGCUUUGUAAACACAUCCUUGCCCUCCAACACCAAUGAGAUGUCUGUCGUCAAAAUCUUCUGUGGCUUCAAUAAUAUUCUCGAAUACCAUUUUGCCAUCAAAACUCCAUAUUGCAAAUAUGUUAGGAGUUUGUAUACUUGUAGCCUGGUCUUCUUUGUUCGUUGAGGUUUGGCAUAAAUGAUACGAGACUCCGAAAGCAAAUAAUGCCAGUAUUAGAAUGCCCAAAGUAAGAGGUAAAAUUACUAUCAUUACUUUCUUCCUCAUAUGAUUAUGAGAUUUCCCACUUGAUGUUGAGCAAGGCUCCAAGCCAGUGACAUUUCCACACAAGCCUUUAUUAUUUCUCAAUGCUUCAAUUUUAGCAUUGUGGAAGGCUAGAAUGUUUGGAAGUGGACCCUCAAACUGGUUGUAUGAUAUAUCAAUAGAUGUCAAGGCCGUCAUAUCAUCGAAGCUAGAUCACCUGAAAGAUUAUUGUGUGAGAGAGAUUCAGUAGCUUUUUAAUUCUCCAAACAUUGAACGUAUUGUUCCUCUCAAAGAANNNNNNNNNNNNNNNNNNNNNNNNNNNNNNNNNNNNNNNNNNNNNNNNNNNNNNNNNNNNNNNNNNNNNNNNNNNNNNNNNNNNNNNNNNNNNNNNNNNNUGUAUGAUAUAUCAAUAGAUGUCAAGGCCGUCAUAUCAUCGAAGCUAGAGAGAUCACCUGAAAGAUUAUUGUGAGAGAGAUUCAGUGUUUCUAAGCUUUUUAAUUCUCCAAACAUUGAAGGUAUUGUUCCUCUCAAAGAAUUUCCACCAAGAUCAAGACUCGUAAGAAAUUUCAGUUUGCCAAGCUCUGAAGGAAUAUUUCCCUGAAAAUUAUUUUGGCUCAGACUCAUGUUCAAUAAAUUGAGCAAAUUUCCUAGUUGUUUUGGGAUUAAGCCAGACAAUUUAUUUGAUCCAAGCUUCAAAAUUUGAAGUUUCUGCAUUGAUGCUAUUUCUUUGGGAACAUUUCCUGUAAGAUUAUUGUUGUCGAGUGAGAGAUCAAACAAGGGCAAGUUACAUAAAUCAUGUGGAAUGUUUCCUGAAAGAUGGUUUGAAGACAGGUGAAGUCGUUGUAAUUUGGUUGCCCCAGCUAGUUCUGGUGGUAUCACACCUGAUAAAUUAUUGUUGGAGAUCAUGAGGCUUGUGAGGCUAC